rnacentral:lncRNA from 1 species
UGGAGGGUGCUACAAACACGAUGCCCAACCGCUAAGAAAGGAAAGCUUCCACAAGGAGAUACUGUACCAUCACUCUUCAAGUAAGGUAACAUCUUAAGGUACUUGACUAUCACUUUUAUAAGCUUUUCCUUGGUUUUGGCGUUCACAUGAAUAAAAGAAACAAACAGGUAUGAUUUACAACUCUAGAUUAAUGAACCCAAUUGAUUCAAUAUGUUUAGUCCUUCCACCUUUGUGAUCCUACACUCCUAAUAUGAGCUAAAAUGUUGCACACGCAAUCUUUGGAAGAUAUAUAUAAAAAAACAUUUACUUAGAUUAUCUUUCCAUAGGUUGAGCGAUCUGAUCUGACAAAUGUUUUAAAUGCUACACUCAUGAUCUUAUUAUCCAUCAACUUUAUCUUGCUCACUAUGCUUAAGGUUAGAGAGAACAAAUACACUUUUGGUUCUGUUGGUGUUUUCCACCAACAGAGCCCAUGCACUUGAUCUCUGCCUUGUCUCUAUGAGCAGGUACACUUCGAGCAUCAUAUGAAGGACUUUUACAACUCCCAGACUCCACCAAGUGAAGAACCUAGAUCUACGAGCACAAACACACUGGAGAGACUGGACACUCAGGCAAUCACUGCCCUGAGAUGCUUGAGGACAUAACUACUGGAGUAACCCAUAGAAGUAAUUACUGACCUUCUGCCGGUCAAGAGAGGCGAUCCAGGACGCACCGUCAUCCCGAUCUCCAUCGACACGGUGGACUUCCCAGAAGUACUCUGUGACUUUGGCUCCAGCGUCAACAUUAUACCCAGGGUACUCUAUGAAAAAUUCUUUACACAUCCUUUAUUAGAGACAGCCAUGUGUUUGCAUCUUGCAGAUCGUACGCUAAGUUUCCCAAAGGGAAUAUUGAAGAACCUCUGCGUCCGAGUUGGUACCUUAUACGCUCCAAUAGACUUCGUGGUGAUAGAGACUGAUACUAAUCAGAGGGCACCGAUCAUCCUAGGGAGGCCAUUCCUGAACACCUCGGGAGGUGUCAUCUACGCUAGUGCUGCUAAAAUCCAUUUCUACAUCAAGGGGAGGAAUGAGACGUUUUCCUUCAAGAACAAGACUACACAAAUCUCAGAACAUUCCCGACAUGAACCAAGGAAGAGGACCAACAGGAGGAACAGAAACAAGCAAAUGUGGACUGAGUCAGCUAAGAUGGUCACUGCAGCUCAAGAAGGUCAAGAUCGUCAACUCAAGUCACCUUUCUUGAUCAAGAAGGACGACCCUAGUGUUCCAAGCAUCAAGUGCACAAUCAACGAAUAUUCUUUUGAGAAGACACUCUACGACACCGGAUCUGACGUCAACAUAAUGGCCGCAGUCACUUAUUAGCUCCUGCAUGGAACCAUGCCCCUAUAACCAACAUACAUUCAGCUCCAGAUGAUUUUAAGGUUAUUGACAUGGGAGAAGACGAGUACAAUCCACCCAUCACCAUUGGGAGACAGUUCCUCAGCACCGUUAAAAUAAUCAUCUACAUUGGAACCGGAGAAGUCCACAUGAAUUUCCCCCCUGAGAAGGUACGCCGCUAUUUUACUGACCCUAACUAUAUAGUUGAAGACUCUAAGCAGGUCAGGACAAGAAGGAGACGACGCAACCGCAACCAGAGAAGGCAAAAUCAUCCAGGACAGAUGGGUAGACUAUGAUGGAGAAGUUGUAAGGUCUGAAGAUAUACAGCUUGAACAGAACUGUCCUGAGGAGACCGUAGCACCGAGUCAGGUGUGUAGAGAGAAGAUAACUAUACACGAAGAGCAGGCGCCGCCGGAACCACCGACUACGCCAUCCAGUGAAUCCCAGGACGACUGAGAAAACGGAGAGUCCAGUUCGGAGUACUUAAAAACACCAACGCCUUGCCAAGAGGUAAACUUGGUAGUUAUCCUUUUUCCCUUUCAAUUAUUUAAAAUAGUUUGCUUAGUUAAUCAGGUUCAUAUCAUCUUAAAAAUAAAAUAAAAAUAUUAAAAAUAGUAAGCCCCAUGUGAGUAUGCUCAUGGCAUAAAACCCAUAACUGUGGUGGCAUAAAAAUAAAAUAAAUAUAUUUCUGUCCUAUAAAAAUAAAAUUAUAAAAAUAAAAUUAUGAUCCUACUAAUGAGUAACAUUUAUUGAGGAGGCUCAACAUGAUAAAGGCUAGAUAUUUAUGCUAACACUUAACUAGCUCCACGAAGCUUUGUUGUUUAUUUGAGCUCCAUAGAAUUCAAGGAUCAAAGAAGACUAGCAGACGGAGGACAUCCUAAUCGCUGUCACGGUGCUGCUAACAUUCAAAUACACCUCCGCCACCUGCUAGCUACAUCAGAAGGAAUUACGUCAAAACCCAGCUUGGGGGAGAGCACCCCCAUUUAUCCAGCUAAGUAUUCUACUCACGUUUAUACUUUACUCAAGUAAUAAAAAGAAGCAUAAUCAUAAAAACCCAAAUAAAGAUUUUGUGCUUAUACAUAUCUCUUUGCUUAGUUUGCUAAAUAAAUAAAUAAAUAAAAUUUGCUAUGAACCCUCGUGAUAAGCUCUCAUAUGGAAAUGAUGAAUAGUUGCUCUGCCAUGACUAUUUCUCAAAAUUGAAAUCUCUCUCAAGUUUAGGCAUGACUGUUAUUAAUUAAGAUUUGCUCUAAACCUGAACUUGUGGGGAGAGUACUUGAUCUAAAGUCUAAGUCGUUAACGGAUACGAUAUGGGAAGGUUGAGCUGCUGUUUAUCUAUUCAUAGAGAUGCUAGAAUUAUGGAGAAUUUCAUCUUUGAAAAUCUUUAAAUUGUUGCAUGAUGAGUUCCUGUAUGGUGAGAGUUUAAAUUCCUACCACAGCCAUAUAUACAUCCUUGCUAGACUUUGAGCCACACAUUUACUUUUUACUGCUUAUGAGCAUUGAGUGUGGUCAAACUGUGUAGACCCUUAGGAGCUUGUCAUGUGGUUAAAUCAAGAUUCACUUGCACGUUCACUCAUACAUGCUACUUCUACUUCAGAAGUACGCAUCCACAUAUAUCCAUCCAUUUCCAUCUCCAGAACCACCCAAAAAUAUUCUACUCCUAAUCCGGGAGAGAAUAGCCAAAAACAUUUUUGUUUUCCCCUUUGAAAUAAAUGCUCAAGUUAUCUUGGUUACUACCACUUGCUAUUUUAUUUCAGGAGAUGAGUGCUCUAAAAAAAGAAAAAAAAGAAAAAAAAAGAAGAUACGAGGAAAUAAAAAGGGGCAAGUGCCCGGAACCUCAAAAGAAAAGAAAAAGUGAGACGAGAGGUAAAAAUGGACAAGUGUCCGACAGUAGAAUUAGGGGUACAAGAUACCCACCUGAGAGAAAAGAAAAAGAAAAUAUAGAGCAUCUCAUUCUUCCCAAAAGUUUCAAAAGAGCAAGGAAGGUAUGUAUCCCCUCAAAAGAGCAAAAGUAGAAUUAGACUUUCACCAUUGUUAUCACCAUCAUCACCAUACACCAUUCAUUCGCCACACAUGCACAUCUUGAUUUGACUUAUUGACUUGUUCUUCUGGAUCCAUGGUUUGACUAUGCAAUAAAUGUCUUGUAAGUAUGUAUUAGCUGUCUCCCACCUAUGAGCUAAAGAUAUCAAUACCUUAUUAGAGUAGGGUGAGAGAGAAGGCAAUGUCACUAUGCCUCAUACCAAAAAUACCACAUACUUUGAGAGAAAGCAUACACCUUUACUGCCUUGGUAAGGAUCCAGAAAUACCACAAAAGAGAGACUAGAGAGAGUCAUACAAGGAAUCUCUGAGUUUUAUUUGAAAAUCUGCAAAAACUCCAGAGCUAUAGUUAAUCGAAGAACAAGAGACAUGGCGCUUGACUAGACCGUUCUAUGUUUUAACUGCUCAAGACAGAAGUGACGGUUACAAGUCCCAUGGUGGAAGGUAAAAUGAGUAAGUUUAAAUCUUAACAGUUUACCCUAACCCAGAGAUGAGAUCUUGUUUGAACGCAGAAACCACUGCAGAAACCACUGCAGAAACUCUUGAGUCCAUCUUUGCUCACGGACAAGCAAAGGUUAAGCUUGGGGGAGCUUGUUGACGGUCCUUAAUGCUCACAAUUAACCAUCAAUUAAUCAUGGAAAAGGAUCCAAAUGCAACCAACACCUAGACUUAGGGUUUUAUCUGACAGAAUUCCACGAGUUUUGGUGUUUGUGUAUUUCUGCAGGGGGUUAUCAGGAAAUACGGAAGAAAGGCCCACACGUCGGGUUUACAUAGAGAUAUUAACGUGCCGCACAAUUUUCUAUCAUCUAGAAGACUCCAGAAGCCACGGGACCGAACGGGAAGGCAAUCGGGCUCGGAGGCAGGGCGCCCGCCCAACUCUCCUGGGCGCCCGCCCAGCUACAGUGCCCAAUCAGGACACGUUUCGCGGACAACGCUCCACCGACCCAAAGGAUCAAGGAAAACCGUGCGAUCAAUGUCGGUUUGAUCCGACGGCCCAGAUUCACUUGAAGGGACUAUAAAACCAGACCCCCUGGCCCCUAGAGAUCAUACCUCUUCUACGGAAUCAAAGCUAGGGUUUCAAGUCUUCAUCCAAGUAGAGAGGAUCCCUCUAGUUCUUCUAGUUCUACCUCUAGUUCAUCUAGAUCUAGUUCUAGUUCAUCUAGUUCUAGUUCUAGUUCCUCUAGUUCUAGUUCUAGUUAGUUCUAGUUGUAAUCAAGAAAAUAGGGAGAGAGAAGAGGAGAGCGGAGGAGGAGCCGGAUCUAUCGGAUCUUCCUCAACAUUGUACUUUUGCAGCAUCUGGUUCGUUCUUCAUCGUUCUCCAGGUUCUUCAACUCAUAACUCCUGAGUUCUCUAAUUACUUUUAUUUACAUUCAAGUUAUUUAUUGGAUUCCCGCUUGCAUCAUGUGCUCUAAUCUUUGAAACAUUAGAGUAGUAAUUAAUAGAUUAGACGUGGUGUUUAGUCUUGCAAUUACCUGGAAUUGCACCCAAUCCUGCGGAUUGUUGUGGUAGCCUUAGGGUAGUGACAGCCCUAAUGGUCGACGUAUUCCACCACGUUCGGAUCGGUGUUUGUAGGACCGUAGUCGGAGCUUCCUAGCCCCCUUCUCAUCUCUUUCUGUGGUUAGUGUUUUGAUGUCCCGAAAUAGAUAAUCUUGAAGUAAUUCUUGAUUCUUAGAUCAGCUAGAGAACUCUUAGGAAACUUCCUCUCUUCCCACCAAAAAUAAUUAUAUAGUUAUCCUUGGGCGAUCUUGGAUCUUAAUUAGUACACUCACGUUCUCUGUGGAAAAUCGAUACUCUGGAAUACUCCCGGGUGAAAGCUACAUCGGUAUCCGUGCGCUUGCGGAUUUUUCUGUUUGCGUUUAAAAUACCCAACAACGUCGGAAGCAGCUGAAAGAAGUGCAUCGGUAGAUCCUCAGCAUCAAAUUACUGUUGCCGAUGCCAAAGGAAAAGGUUUGAUCCAAGAGGGAACUAACUCGGGAAGGCCUCCCCGAUCCAGUAUUGUGAUAACUCAUAGAAGGCCUCGGGAGACUUGGCAGCAACGUGAGGAUCGGUAUCGGCGCUAGCAAGAAGACUUUCGUCGGGAAGAAGAAGGACGCCGACAGGAGUGGAAUCAGCAUAGGGAUCAUUGGAAUUGUCCGUUAUUUAUCCAUUGUUGGGAACAAAAUAUUAAGCUUCCUACUGUCAGAGACUGCCCUGAAUGUAAUGGUUAUGAUCGGUAUGACAGAUCAGAUCGGCAGUAUCAGGACAGUGACCGCCGAUUUGAUGGGCCGAUUAGGGGGAGAGCAUCAGUUCAUGAUCGGCUGGGGGGCAGACUCUGUGUACACGAUAGGGUUGGUGACCGUGUUGAAUAUUUCCCAGGAACCAGGAAGAGCUUGAGGAGAUGGCCAAUGCACGAGUUCCCGAUGAGUUCAUAUUUUGUAGGGAUGCUAAUACUUAUCGGAUGGAGUCAAGGGAAAGUCGUCGCCCAUCGGCAAGGCAGCCACAACUUCCUCCAUGGUGUCCAGAGGGAUUGACUAGGACUCAGAAAAGGAGGCUGCAGCGCGAAAGACGAGAAUAAUUGAACAAAGGCGAGAAUUCUGGCCAAUCUGGAGAUCAGCCGCAACCAGAUCCUAAGGGAAAAGGGCCAUCGGCAGAUGUUAAGAUGGUGUUUAUGUUGCCAAUGGAGUUCCUUGCGCCAUCCAGUGAUGAUGAGGAGCAGGAUUUUUCCGACCAGAUAGCUCAGUUGGCUCUAGAUCCGAUGACAGCUACCUUUGAAAAGCCUGCCGACAAUGAAAGGCAGCAUCUUAAAGCUCUGUUCGUCAAAGGAAGAGUUGAUGGGCAGUCAAUGACCAAGAUAUUAGUUGAUGGUGGGGCUGCUAUUAACAUCAUGCCAUAUGCAGUCUAUCGGAAGCUUGGGAAAGGAGAUCAAGAUUUAACCAAGACCGAUAUGAUGCUAAAAGACUUUGAAGGAAAUGUGUCUCCGGUUAAGGGGGCAAUAUGCGUCGAGUUGACCAUCGGCAGCAAAACCUUGCCGACAACAUUCUUUGUGAUCAGUGGAAAAGGUGCCUACAAUCUACUACUGGGGAGAGACUGGAUCCAUGCCAAUUGUUGUAUCCCAUCGACAAUGCACCAAUGCUUGGUUCAGUGGGUAGGUGACAAGAUUGAGAUUGCGUCGACAGAAUCAGAUACCUAUGAAAGGACUAGGUGUAUCUCGGGGAAACUUGGGAGAAGGAUUUCCUCAAAGUUGCCGAUUAUGAAAUUCCACCGAUCCAAGCAGUCGGUUCUGAUGAGGAGUUUUAAUGGAUAGGUUCGCCGAUGAUGGAAAAUUAGGCCAGGGGUUCACAUCGGCCGAUGAUUUGGUAGAGGUAGAUAUAGGUAGUGGUGAUAAGCCUAGACCUACUUUUAUUAGUGCUAAGUUAAAUUCCGAGUAUAAGCAGCAAUUAACCGAUUUGUUAAAGGAAUAUAAAGAUUUCUUUGCUUGGGAUUAUACCGAGAUGCCUGGUUUAGACCGAUCUAUUGUUGAACAUCGGUUGCCCAUCAAGUCUAGAUUUCGGCCACAUCAACAGCUAGCUCGCCGAUGUAAUCCUAAUAUUCUUCCUAAUAUUAAGGCUGAAAUAACCAAACUUAUCGAAGCUAGAUUUAUUCGUCAGUGUCGGUAUGCCGACUGGAUUUCCAAUGUUGUUCCAGUUUACAAGAAAAAUGGGAAGCUUCGAGUCUGCAUUGAUUUCAGGAAUCUCAACAAAGCCACACCGAUGGAUGGUUAUCCAAUGCCGGUUGCCGAUUUGAUGGUUGAUGCUGCGGCUAGACAUCGGAUUAUAAGCUUUAUGGAUGGCAAUGCAGGGUAUAAUCAAAUAUUCAUGGCUGAAGAAGAUAUUCCAAAGACUGCAUUUAGAUGUCCUGGUCAUGUUGGGUUGUUUGAAUGGAUAGUCAUGACCUUUGGUUUGAAAAAUACUGGUGCUACUUAUCAAAGGGCUAUGAAUUUUAUCUUUCAUGUGUUCAUCGGCAAGCUGGUGGAAAUUUAUAUUGAUGAUGUGGUGGUUAAGUCUGAAGAUUUCACAAAGCAUCUUGCCGAUGUGCGAAAGGUGUUGGAAUGCACAAGGAAACAUGGUUUAAAGAUGAAUCCCAAUAAGUGUGCCUUUGGUGUAUCGGCAGGGCAGUUUCUUGGUUUCAUGGUGCAUCAGAGAGGAAUUGAAAUUAGGAGACGAUCUAUUGAUGCUAUAAAUAAAAUUGUUGCCCUUACUAACAAGAUUGAGCUCCAAUCCUUGAUCGGCAAGGUAAAUUUUAUCAGGCGGUUUAUAUCUAAUUUGUCUGGCAAAAUUUGUGCUUUCAGUCCUUUGCUUAAGUUAAAGGCCGAUCAAGAGUUCAUAUGGGGGAAAGAGCAACAGUUGGCUUUGGAUGAAAUCAAGAAUUAUUUCAUAAAUCCUCCGGUUCUGAUUCCACCUCAGCAAGGAAAGCCCUUCAGAUUAUAUUUAUCUACCGAUGGGAUGGUCAUCUGUUCGGCUUUAAUUCAAGAAUUUAAGGGGAAGGAGCGUGUGAUUUACUACUUAAGCAGAAGAUUGAUUGAUGCUGAGACCAGGUAUUCGGCUAUUGAAAAAUUAUGUUUAUGCCUAUAUUUCUCCUGCAUUAAGUUGAGGCACUAUUUACUAUCGGCCGAAUAAAUUGUUAUAUGCAAAGAUGAUGUGGUCCAGUAUAUGCUAUCUAUGCCGAUCAUGAGUGGCAGGAUCGGUAAGUGGAUUUUGGCACUGUCAGAAUUCGAUCUACGUUACGAAUCGGCUAAAGCAGUUAAAGGACAGAUUAUGGCCGAUUUUGUAACUCAACAUUGCGGUGUAGUGGAAACUUUGGAAAUCGUGCCUUGGACGCUUUUCUUUGAUGGAUCCAUGUGUGACCGAGGGCAUGAAUCGGCAUAGUGUUGAUUUCCCCUCAGGGGAGGAAGUAUGAGUUUUCUUUGCCGAUUGUUGCCACGUCAAUGAAUAAUCAAGCCGAAUAUCAAGGAUUAAUCAAAGGGUUGGAAUUGUUAAAAUAAGUUCAUGCUGAUGCUGUCGAAAUCUUCGGGGAUUCUAUGCUGGUUAUAAAUCAAUUGGCUGGAAAUUAUGAAUGCCGAAGCGAAGUCCUAAUAACUUAUUACAAAAAGAGUAUACAACUGUUAAGGGAAUUCAAGGAUUUCCGAUUAGAGCAUGUUCCUCGGUUACAUAAUGAGGAGGCUAAUCGGUUGGCUCAGCAUGCCUCAGGAUAUCAACCUAUAGUGAACAUGUUAUCGGCAAUCAGUGCCGGUGAUUGGAUAAAAGAAAUCGUUGAUUAUUUAAAGGAUCCAUCUAAGAAAGUUGAGAGACGUGUUCGGUUUCAAGCCACCAAGUAUGUGCUCCUCGAGGAUGAAUUAUAUUAUCGAACAAUUGAUGGGAUUCUUCUCAAGUGCUUAGGUGAUGAUGAGGCAAAAAGUUUGAUGGGAGAAAUCCAUGAAGGAGUAUGUGAAGCACAUCAGUCGGCGUUUAAGAUGAAGUGGAUGAUCAGGAGAAAUGGGUAUUAUUGGUCGACUAUACUUGAGGAUUGUUUUAAGUAUUUCAAAGGGUGUCUAGGAUGUUAGAGGUUUGGCAAUAUUCAAAGAGCGCCCGCAUCGGCUAUGAAUCCCAUUAUUAAACCUUGGCCGUUCAGGGGAUGGGCUAUUGAUCUAAUCGGCCAGAUUUACCCGCCAUCAAGCAAAGGGCAUAAAUUCAUCUUGGUUGCCACCGAUUAUUUUCACCAAGUGGGUUGAAGCUAUUCCUUUGAAGAAAGUCACAUCGGCCAAUAUGAUUGAUUCUGUGAAAGAACAUAUUAUUUACCAAUUUGGUAUUCCUCAAACAAUUACUACCGAUCAGGGUACUAUGUUUACAUCGGGGGAGUUUGAUGAGCUGGCAAUCGGUAUGUGAAUUAAAGUGUUAAAUUCCUCUCCUUAUUAUGCUCAAGCUAAUGGGCAGGCCGAAGCAUCCAACAAAGGGAUUAUCAAACUUAUUAAACGGAAGAUUGAAGAGAAUCCUAGGAGGUGGCAUACAUUGUUGAAUGAAGCUUUAUGGUCAUAUCUGAUGGCUUGUCAUGGAUCGACCAGAGUUUCACCUUAUCAGUUGGUGUAUGGACAUGAUGCAGUGCUACCUUGGGAAAUUAGGACUGGAUCUAGGCGAUUAUCUUUUCAAGAUCAAUUGAUUGCCGAUGACUAUGCUACUUUGAUGACAGACGAGUUGGAUAAUUUAGCAAGACAUCGGUUGAGAGCUUUGAUGAGUAUAGAAGAAAAUAAAAAGAGAGUUGCCAGAUGGUAUGAUAAGAAGAUAAAGGCUAAGGAAUUUGCCGAUGGAGACUUAGUAUGGAAACUAAUCUUACCGAUCGGGACCAAAAGUUCAAAAUUUGGAAAGUGGUCUCCUAAUUGGGAAGGUCCUUAUCGGAUAAAUCGGUCUGCUUCUGGCAAUGCUUAUAUUUUAGAAACUCUCGAAGGAGUUGAAUUUCCCAGAGCAUUGAAUGGCGAAUAUUUAAAGAAAUAUUAUCCUAGCAUAUGGAUUGAUGCAUGAAAGUUUAAGUGCUGAUAAACAUUCCUAUCGGCUGGAUCAAACUGUAUCUGGGGCCGGACUCAAUGUUUUAAACGGGGGCCGAUAACAGUCCUAUCGGCUAGACCAAAAUAAUCAGGAGUUUGUAAAAGAAAAGAACAAAACAUGCCAUCGAUGAAGAGUUUAUAUGUUUAGCGGAGCCUGGAUUGUCGAUAUGGCACGUAGACGGAUCUGAUCGGCUUCCUCUAUCUCCUUUAUGUCUUCAUCGGUAGAGCCCUCCACUAGCCUCAGUUUCUUCUUCAUCUGUAGUGCCUUGGCAGCCUGGAUGUUUCGCUCCUCUUCAAUAGUCUUGAUUGCUUCAGGCAGCUGGCUUUCUUCCUGUUGAGCUUGGGACAGAGCUUCUUCUACUUGUUUGAGUUCUGCUAACAGGGCUUCUCUCUUCGCCGAUAGCUCAGAGAUCUUUUGCUUCAGCACGUCUCCUGAGGAUUUCAAAAUGCCGAUGCUCUUAUGCUUUUCAUCGGCAAGGAGUUUUACUUUCAUCAUCUCUUCUGAGAGCUGGGCGUGAGCAGCUCUAUCGGCAAGGCGCUGAGCAGCCUUUUAACACUAAAGCUGCCGACUCUCCAAGUGUGCAACCUUGAAGAGGAUCUCCUCGGCAUCGGCAGAAAUUUGGCCUCUGAGAGCCUUGAGCAGGGCCUUAGCUGGAUCGGAGUCAUCAACCAAUUGGGCCGUAUCUUGAUGGAGGGCCGACAAAUCUUCCAGUUUUGCUCUAAUCUCUGCCGAUGAGAUUCCAAACGCUCGAGAAGAACUUGCUUCCUCGCCUUCAUCCUCAGAGAUUUCGAUGGCGAAGGAGAACAAGCUGUCGGGAGAGUCCUGUUCCUGGAAAGGAAGACAAAAUAAGUUAUUUUAUGAUCAAGUACUGACGAUGAUAAAAUAGAGACCGGGUAACUUACUUGUUUCAGAGCUAUCUCUCGCCUCUGGCUAGUUGAGGCCGAUGGAACCACAGGCUUAUCGGCUGGAAUUGCCGAUGAAACUAUGUCAGUUGAAAGAUUGACAGAAAUAAUUAAUAAAAUGGAAAAAUAGGUUCAUCGGUAAUAAAUAGAAAGUAUGUUACCUUGAGGGGGCGCAGUACUUGUUUGAAUCGAGGAGACUACUGAUGGUAUGAUUAAGCUCGCUGGAUCGAUGGUCUGCUCGUGCACAUCAGCCGAUGUUUCUUCUGGCUGAGGUUCUUCUGGCUGGAGUUCUUCUGUUUGGAGUUCUUCUUGUAGCUGAGGGGCAGAUGAUGCUUGUUGUGUCUAAGCUUCUGGAGAAGAGGGGGAUGAUUCCACCGGGAUCGGUGACCUCGGAGGAGGGUAAGGCGUUGCUGUUCUCUAGUGCUUCGCUUGUGAUCUGGUACUCUUGGAACCUUUUCUCUUUGGUUGGCUGGACUAGGGGGCAUCGACAGUCGUACUUCUGGUCUUUGCCGAUUUGCCAGUGUGCUGAUACAACAAUGAAAGUUUUGUGAGUACAAGUGUAACAGGGUAUUGAUGAGGUUUUAAUUAAAAUAAUAAAGUUACCGAUGAAGUUCCCAUGCUAGCCGAUGUAUCCUGAAAAAUUGUGUAAGUAUAAGAAUGGAAUCGGUAUAAGUUGAAGAAUUUGGGAGUUUACCUUGAAGGCUUGUGCCAAAGCAGUGGCAGCUACCGAAGGGGAUGUUUUCGUCCGCUUGGUGGUGAUUUUCUUGAGACGCACACCCCGAUGCAUUAUAGUAGCCAAGGUUGGAGCGUUGUUGCCGAUCAAAGAGAUCGGGCCUGAUGGAAGGAGUUCAAUCGGCCUACCACUCCUGCUGACUAAUGGUGGCGUAUGAUCGACCUGUAUACAACAAAGAAAGUAAGUUACUGGUGGAAAAUGAAAGUGAAAGGAUUGAAGCAUCGGUUUAAAGUACUUAUAGUAUUAUCAGGGACUUUGUAUUUGGGGUCGAUCAUGCCACGGUAUGCGAGAGCCGAUCUGCAGAACAGGUGCUCUUUCCACUCUUCCCACCACUGUUUGUAUGCCUGAGUAAUGAAGAGAGCUGAGAUCCAAGCCGAUAGAUCGACAUCUGUAUCGGUGUUUGGUGGAAGCUGAGCUACCCUGAUCCAUUCUAGAUUGCUGGUGAUGGUCUCCCUCAGCUUUAUCCAUCAGCGUAGCAAAGUGCAAUCGGCAGUUGGCCGAAAGCCAGUUCGAGCUAGUGCCGAUGGGUUAUAAAACUCAUAGGUCAGAUUGGAGGCUUUCCCACUGCCGAAGAAGUUCACUUGUAUGGCUCUUGGGCUGAUAAUUGCCAUCAUCACGUCACGGUCCUUGUUGAGAGCAUCAUUGAAGGGGUGGAAAGUCAAGGGGAAUUUGGUGUAUGGAUCUUCAUAAGGCAUCCAUGCCCGCUAUUCUCUGGUUAGACUCUCGUACAGAGUUUGAAAGAAUCAACUAACCUGGUCUUCGUUACCACCAGUGCCAGGUAAGACUAUGGCUGCUUCGCCAAAGUUCAAGGGAGAGCGAGUUGCCGAUUCUUCUUCAUCCAGUUCAUAAUCUUCGGCUAUGUCCCUAGGGAAGCGCUGUGCAAAGAGGUCGAAUUCAAGGCACUUGUGCAUGUGGAGAUUAAGCCACAUGUUGAUGAACCACCAAGGACCCCCUAAGUUGCCGAUGGGUUGGCCGAGCAGAAGUUUCCUGGCUACUUGGUGGAGGAGGUGAUAAGCCGAGCCGAGCAAGUAUCGGCCAAGAGGAAAUCGGCCACCAUCGGCUAGUCUUUCUGCUGCCGAUAAGUAAACAGAAGUUGGUCCUGCCGAUCGGCCACAGAAUACAAAUUUAUCCAGCUACAUAUUCAGAAAAGUGGUCUAUUCCUUUGCAUUGAUAGGACUUGUUCUUCGGUACUUCUGAAUGUACCCGGACCAACCGCCGAUAGCACGAGUUUUUACCUUAGCACUGGGUUUGCUGUCGAACAGGUGGCUGUUAUCGACAGUGGAUAUAUCUAAGCCGGUGAGCAUAAGUACAUCGGCAAGUGUAGGAGAAGCAGGGCCAUGGCCAAACACAAAAGCAUUGAGUGUGUCUGACCAAAAGUAUGAAGCAGCGAUCAGCAGUGACUCAUUUCUCUCCAUAUCGGCAAGAGAUAAUCUAAUACACUAAUCUAACUUCCGCUCGCCCCAUUGAACCUCGUUUGAAUGGCUGACUCUCAAAAACCAAUCCUUUCAUCCCUUGGUAGGACUGGGCCAGGAACGGAAGGCAUCUUUCCAUAGAUCUAGGGAGAAGUUUUCGGCUCUAAAGAGAACCCUGUUUGUCUCUGCAUUUAUCAGAUCGGUGGGAUCCGGAUUUCCUAGCGGGCCAAGACAUUGGAGGUGAGGUUGAUCGGUAGGAAUAAUGAUCUUAUCGGCCAAGUCCUAAAGGUUUUUGAGGAUAAAAGAAAGAACAAAAAGAAAAAUGAGUAUUCAGUGAAAGAAAUCGCAGAUGAACAGGAGUACGGUAAAGGUGCGGAUAAGAAGGGUAGUGAACUGGCCUCAGGCACGGUGAAGUUGAUGGCCAUUUUCUCGCGAGGAAGAGGAUCGAAGACUUGGGGGAUUGGUGAGGAAAGCCUUCUUUGGAGUUCUUGGAAACCAUAGAUGGUGCCGCCGCCGUGAAAGUGGAUUUUGGGCUGUAGGAUGACAAGAUGGAGAAGGAGUGCCGGAGAAGGAAGUAUUUAUAGGACAAAAUGGGCAGGGGUAAAUCUGACUUAUCUCUUGCCGCAUCCAUGAAAUCUGAGGGUAUUCAGGUGGAUAUGGUAACUAUUCGCACGAUAAUCAAGGGAUUGCACAGGUGAUUUGACAGCAAGCGGUCAUGAUUUUGGAGAUAUUUCACUGUACAAGAUCUCCUGGUCGGUCCAUCGGCAGUUCUCUCUAACGAUAAUAUUGCCGGUGGGCGUGUAAAGUGGAGAGAUUCGGUUCGGGAGGUUGAGGAAUUCGAGGAAUAUGCAGGAGAAUCGGGCCAAGGUUGUUCGGAUUUGAAGAGCAGUUACCAAAUUGGGAGAAUUAAUUGCGAAAAGGCACAAUUACUGCAGAGAAUUUUGGAGCAUUAAUGAUUUUAUACUCCGAAAUUGGGAGGCAUGUGUUGACACCGUUUUUGGACACGUACCCGGGGGUCGAUAAAGUAUAGAUCGACAGAUGGAGCAACGGUAACUAGUCUACAGGGAAGUUGCCGAUGAGGAUGGUUGCUGAUGAAGAGACGAUUGAAUAUGACAAAGUCCAGAGGUGGUGACGUGUUCAUGCCGAUGAUCAGUAUUAGUGUUUGCCGAUGGCAAUAACAGGAGGUCUGCCGAUGACUCUGAACGAAAACGUGGAGAUUGCUGAUUGAUCUGUGGCGGUGUCCCGGUCGGUUACAAGGGGAUAGUUUUAUGUUUUCCAUAGUUAUUUAAAUUCGUUUUGUAUACAGAUUCUGUUCAAUUUGGAAUUCGAGUCCUAGUCAUGUCUAAUUGUAGCUCUUUGAGCAGGGUAUAAAUGUAGACCCUAGGGCCUUGUAAUGAUGAAUCUAUCAAUCAAUAAAACACAAGUUUUUACUCAUAUUCCAGCAUCUACUUUUUCGACGACUUUGUCAUAUUUUUUCUUUUUACUACGAGUUCUUAAGGAUUCGUCGACUUAAGCUCGGUGUAUUCUCGAGUUCCGUGUGACCACCUCUUGGCCGUGACAUCCGGGCACAUCGCUGUUGUCGGGACUAAAGUGUUCAAGUUACCACCUUUUCCGAUAGUAAGGUCAAAUCGGCUGGCACACCUUAACGUUUAAAUCGGGUAUUAGCUCUUUGUGUUUGCAGAUUAGCUUUUGCAUCAACAGGUAGAAAGAAAAAGACUUAAAGAAGGAUUCAUGGUUACUAAUUAUAUUAAGUCCACCACUUGAAUCAAUCAAUCAAAUGCAAUUCAAGUGGGUAUCAAGAAUAGUUCUUUGGAGAGAGGUCACUUCUCCCUACGUGAGCGGUGUGCCACACGAGGAGUGGGUAAACCAAGUGUGGUGCUUCGAAGGCUAACUAGAAGUGGUGAUCUAAAGGAUAUUUGCGAUGCUUAGUUGAAGCAAUCAGAAGGAUUGAUCAAGAAAGUAAGCAACACCCAAAAUGAGAGCUACAUAUUUCAAUUGGUACUCUUAUUAGUUCUCUCAUGCAAGCAAUGGUAAAAAAUAUGAAGCAAGCUAACCACAACAAAAGAUAGUGCACUUGAUUAUAAGUGGUUCUCAAAUUCAUAUGGGUGAAGAUUUGAUCUAUCAAUUGGCAUUUAUAAUUUGUCUUCACCAAGCUUAUAAUUGGAUUUCACAUUGCUAUUUGGAGCUAAAUUGGAUUCUUAUUGACUAUCCUCUACUCUAAGAUAGCAAAGGUAUCAUUGUAAUGUGCAUGAUCAUUUCAUCCCUUACUGUUGACACCGUUUUUGGACACGUAUCUUUUGACGUGUAUCUGGGGAUAGUAAAGUAUAGAUCAGCAGAUGAAGCAACUGUAACUAGUCUACAGGGAAGUUGCCGAUGAAGGUGGUUGCCGAUGAGGAAACAACUGAAUGUGACUAAGUCCAGAGGUGGUGAUGUGUUCGUGCCGAUGACCAGUAUCAAUGUUUGCCGAUGGCCACAACAAGAGGUCUGCCGAUGGCUUUGAAGAAAAAUGUGGAGGUUGUCGAUUGAUCUGUGGCGGUGCCCCGGUCUGCUACAAGGGGUAGUUUUAUGUUUUCCUUAGUUAUUAGAAUUCGUUUUGUGUAUGGGUUCCGUUUAGUUUGGAAUUCGAGUCCUAGUCGUGUCUGGUUGUAGCUCUUUGGAUAGGGUAUAAAUGUAGACCGUAGAGCAAUGUAAUGAAUCUAUCAAUCAAUCAAACACAAGUUUUUUACUCAUAUUCCAGCAUCUACUUUUUCGAUGACUUCGUCAUAUUUUCUUUUUACUACGAGUUCUUAGGAAUUCGUCGAGUCAAACUCGGCGUGUUCUCAAGUUCCGCGUGAUCACCUCUUGGCCGUGAUAUCCGGGCGCAUCGCUGUUGUCGGCACCAAAGUGGUCGAGUUACCACCUUUGUCAAUUGUAAGGUCAAAUCGGCUGGCACGCCUUAACGUUUGAAUCGGGUAUUAGCCCUUUGUGUUUGCAGAUCAGUUUUGCACCAACACAUCUUUUGGCACGCCUGAUGGGACGAAUUCAAGAUCAAGAUCAACAUGGCGAAUACCGAGUUCGACUUGGAGAACGUCAUCCCCGUGACGGAAGCCAAUCUCAGAGAUGAGCAGAAGCAAGCUAUUGCAAAAGCCAUGGAGGACUACAAGCAGCAAUGUUUGAAAUCCUUCAACAUCAAUAGGAGCGGCGAGGUGAUCCAAAAGUAACCAUUGCUGGCACCUCGGCAGAUUACUUUUGAAGCCAAUCCUAGUAAACUCCAAGACAUGGUUGACAGUACUAUUAACCACGCCUUGAUCAAUCAAGCUGGUGUGCUGUCCAACACAGUGUUCAUACGGUGGCUAGAACUUUUAAGGAAGGACAAUUGCCGCCAAAUUAUGUGGGCCCUGCCUAUCAUCAGCCAGGAUCACCAGUGGUCACAGCUCCAUCGGCUACUACGGCCGCUGCGAGUACAAAAACUACUUCUCCAAGCACAUUAGGGAUCACUAAUGCGCAAUCUACACCGAUGACGACCAAUCCAUCAACAUAGGAUGGGCAAAUCAAGCUUGCCACAGAUCUAUUGGCAUCGGCAAUGUCGGGAUCUGUUCCUCCCAAUUGGUGGCGUUACGGUAUGCCGCCAGAGAUGAUGUUGAAGACUCCUGGAACAUCUUAAGUGGCUGACUUGACAGGCAAGGCUCCUAUGCCAUCGGCACCUCCAAAUCUGCCGAUGAAUCAAAGUCCCCAGUACACUACAACUACUACUGCAAGACCUUACACUGGGAAUUCUCAAGCUCCAACGUUCCACAUGCCUAACGCAUCGGCAGAUUCAAUGCCGACCCAGCAGAGGUUUAUGACACAGCCAGGGUAUGUCAAUUCAAUGACGAUGCCCAAUUUCCAGCCAUCGGCAGGGUUUAUGCCGAUGAAUGCUAACAGUGGAUGGACGGGACAAUUAGUCUUUCCACAGAUGCCUCAACAGAAUCAUCAGGCUCCAGGGUUUCAACAAGGCCAAAUCCAACCAGGGUUUCAGAAUCAAGGGUUGGCUCACCAACCGAUGAAUCUUGGUUAGCAGAUUGGUGGUCAGAUGGUUAACCCAAUGUUCCAUGCAGAUCGUGCACCUCAGAGACACGUGGAAGCAUAUCAGCAGGUGCUAGAUCCACAACCGCCCCAUCGGCAAGACACCGAUGCUUAUUGGGCCGAUAAGAUAGCUGAAGUAAUGAGAGACCAAUUUGGGAUAAAACCCAAAGUCAAUACUUACUCUUAUCGGACACCAUAUCCUCCCGCACACGAACUGAUUCUGCUGCCUAAUCGGUACAAAGUACCCGAUUUUACUAAGUUUUCUAGACAGGAUGACACAUCAACCAUGGAGCACGUUGUUGAUAUUUGGGAACGCAAUAAGGAAUUGAUCCGCAAGCGCACGGAUAUCGGUGAGCACUUCACCCGGGAAAUUAUCCAGAGUAUCGUAUUUAUUUUUUUUACCACUAGGAGAAAGAGUGCAUCUGACUAACCGGUCUAUUACUACUAACCUUUAGGCACAAAGAAUGUCUUUCGAUGUGAGUGAUAAAUAGAGAAGACUGCAACCGUAGUCUCCUUCUAACCUUGGUAAGGAUGAUCUACUGUUCUAAUGGGGACGCUAACGGAAUCUAGACACCACAAAGGAUGUUCAACCCGCACCUAUAAACCCUAUCCUUCCUGCUAACGAGAUGUGAUCUACAAAGGUAGCUCGGAAUUGUCACGUUCCUCACUACUACCACGGUCCAACUAGUUAGGGAAUAUCUAUGAGUACCCCAGCCUAAACACCACGUUUACGCCAGCAAUGAUUACUCUAAACUCUACGCGAAGAGAUUAAAGUAAACUCAUAAACCAUAAGAACAAUAAAACAAGAACUUACUAGAAUUUAGAAGUCGAAUUACUGAAGAAUCCUAGGAGCAAGCUUCGGGUUAGGAGAACUUGAUCCCGCAGGUACAAGCUUGGAGUAGACACCGACAGGCCGGGCUUCCUCCACUCUUCACCUCCACUCUAUCUCUCUCAAUCUAGUAGAAACUAGAAGAUCUAUUUCUACCUUACAUUGGUUGCUAAGCCUAAAAAGAAAUAUUAAUUAGAGAAGAGGUUUUCCUUCGAGGGCACCCCUCAGUCUCUAUGAUAAUUUCUUCAUGUCUUCUCCAGGGGCCAGGGGGGCCUUGCUUAUAUAGUCCUCCCCUUCUAUGCGUUUUUGGGUCGAUAGGCGAGGUGGUACUAUGUUUUUCUUGAUCCAAUAGGUCGGUGGAAUAUCCCGAACGAAGAGAGUCCUGAUCUGGCUCCAGAGGGGGGCGGGCGCCCAGGCUACCAGGGCGGGCGCCCUGGGCCUGGCCCUGUUUUGCCUCCGCUUCGGUCUCGUGGCUUCUGGAGUCUUCUAGAUGAUGUAAAAUCGUGCGGUGCGUUGAUAUCUCUAUGUAAUCCCGACAUGUGGGCCUUUCUUCCUUAUUUCCUGAUAACCCCCUGCAGAAAUAGAUAAACAACAAAACUCGUGGAAUUCUGUCAGAUCAAACCCUAAUUCUACGUGUUGGUUGCAUAUUGGUCCUUUCUCUUAUUUAUUUGAUAAUUAAAAUUGAUACUUAAGAACCGUCAACACACGUCAAUAGGUUCAUCAUCCAAUGUGGGGAGGCUGCUAACAGAGAUGAGUUAAGGGUUCGUUUGUUCUCGUCAUCUUUGUCUGGAUCGGCUUUUACUUGGUUUAUAUCAUUACCUCCCAACUCGGUGAUUACUUGGGCCGAUCUGGAGAAGCAAUUCCAUAAAUACUUCUUUUCUGGAGUCCAUGAGAAGAAGAUCACCGAUUUGGUCAGAUUGAAACAACGCAAUGAUGAAUCGGUUGAAAGCUUUGUGCAGAGAUUGCGAGAAGUUAAGAAUAAAUGCUAUAGUCUGAUCUUGGAUGAUCGGCAGCUAGCCGAUUUGGCUUUCCAGGGUUUGUUGCCACAUAUCAGAGACAAGUAUGCUUCUCAAGAGUUAGAGAGCCUAAGUCACUUGGUACAGAGGAUUUCUGACCAGGAUAUCAAACCCUUUGAGCCCAAGAGAGCAUGGAAUAAAAAGGUGUCAUUUGUUGAUGAAGCAGCAAGCUCAGAUUCUGAUGAGGAGCCAGUCAUCGGCUUGGCAGAAUGGGUGAAAAAAAGAAGCCGAUGUCUUGCCCUUUUGGGCAUAAAGAGCCAGAGAAGUUUGCAUUCGAUAUCACUAAAGCCGAUAGGAUAUUUGAUUUUCUACUUCAUGAAGGGCAGGUCAAGUUUUCACCCAAUCAUGUGAUUCCAUCGGCUGAAGAAUUAAAGAAGAUGAAAUACUGCAAGUGGCACAAUGCAACCUCUCACAGCACCAAUGAGUGCAAGGUUUUUAGGCAACAACUGCAAUCGGCUAUAGAAUCUGGGAGAAUCAAGUUUGAUAAUUCCAAAGCUCAGAAGCCGAUGAAGAUCGAUCAACAUCCUUUCCCAACAAAUGUGUUGGAUGCUAAGGGAUAGACCAAGGUCUUGACGUCAGAAGCAGCUGAAAGAAGUGCAUCGGUGGAUCCUCAGCAUCAGAUUACUGCUACCGAUGCUAAAGGAAAGGGUUUGAUCCAGGAAGGAAAUAGCUGAGGAAGGCCUCCCCGUUCUGGCAUUGUGAUAACUCAUAGAAGGCAUCGGGAGACUUGGCAGCAACGUGAAGAUCUGUAUCGGCGCCAACAGGAGGAUCACCGUCGAGAAGAGGAUCAACGCCGACAGGAGUGGAAUCGGCACAAAGAUCACUGGAACUGCCCGUUCUUUAUCCAUUGCUGGGAACAGAACAUCAAAUUGCCCACUGUUAGGGACUGCCCUAAGUGCAAUGGUUAUGAUCGGUAUGACAGAUCUAAUCGGCAGUAUCAGAAUGAUGAUCGACGUUUUAAUGGGCCGAUUAGGGGGAGAACUUCAGUACAUGAUCGGUUGGGGGGCACGAUCAGUGUACAUGAUAGACUCGGUGACCAUGUUGGAUACUUUCCCAGGAACCAAGAGGAGCUUGAAGAGAUGGCAAAUGCUCGACUUCCCGAUGAGUUCAUAUUUUGCAGGGAUGCCAAUACCUAUCGAGUGGAGUCAAGGGAAAAUCGUCGCCCAUUGGUAAGGCAGCCACAACUUCCUCUAUGCUGUCCAGAAGGAUUGACUAGGACACAGAAAAGAAGGUUGCAGCACGAAAGACAAGAAGACUUGAGCAAAGGAGAGAAUCUUGGCAAAUCUGGAGAUCAGCAGCAGCUGGAUCCCAAGGGAAAAGGGUCAUCAGCAGAUAUUAACAUGGUAUUUAUAUUGCUGAUGGAGUUUCUUGCACCAUCCAGUGAUGAUGAGGAACUGGAUUUUUCCGACCAGAUAGCUCAGUUGGCUCUAGAUCCGAUGACAACUAUCUUUGAAAAGCCUGCCGACAAUGAAAGGCAGCAUCUUAAAGCCUUAUUCGUUAAAGGAAUGGUUGAUGGGCAGCCAAUGACCAAGAUACUUGUUGACGGUGGGGCCGCCAUCAAUAUCACGCCAUAUGCAGUCUAUCGGAAGCUUGGGAAAGGAGAUCAAGAUUUGACCAAGAGUGAUAUGAUGCUGAAAGACUUUGAAGGAAAUGUGUCUCCGGUUAAGGGGGCAAUAUGCGUCGAGUUGACCAUCGGCAGCAAAACCUUGCCGACAACUUCUUCGUGAUUAGUGGAAAGGGUGCUUAUAAUCUGCUGCUACGGAGAGAUUGGAUUCAUGCCAAUUGUUGCAUCCCACCUACAAUGCACCAAUGCUUGGUUUCAGUGGGUAGGUGACAAGAUUGAGAUUGUCCCAAGAGAUUCUUCUUAUGUCAUUGCAUCGGCAGAGGCGGACACUUAUGAAAGGACCAGGUGUAUCUUGGGAGAGAUUUGGGAAAAGGAUUUCCUCAAAGUUGCCGAUUAUGAAAUUCCACCGAUCCAAGCAGUCGGUUCUGAUGAGGAGUUUUAAUGGAUAGGUUUGCCGAUGAUGGAAAAUUAGGUCAGGGGUUUACAUCGGCCGAUGAUUUAGUAGAGGUAGAUAUAGGUAAUGGGGAUAAGCCUAGACCUACUUUUAUUAGCGCUAAGUUAAAUUCUAUGUGUAAACAAUAGUUAACCGAUUUGUUAAAGGAAUAUAAAGAUUGCUUUGCUUGGGAUUAUACUGAGAUGCCUGGUUUAGACCGAUCAAUUGUUGAACAUCGGUUACCUAUCAAGUCUAGAUUUCGGCCACAUUAGCAGCCAGCCCGCCGAUGUAAUCCUAAUAUUCUUCCUGAUAUUAAGGCCGAAAUAACCAAACUUAUCGAAGCUAAAUUUAUUCGGCAGUGUCGGUAUGCCGAAUGGAUUUCCAAUGUUGUUCUGGUUUACAAGAAAAAUGGGAAGCUUCGAGUUUGCAUUGAUUUCAGGAAAAUCUUAAUAAAGCUACGCCGAUGGAUGGUUACCCGAUGCCGGUUGCCGAUUUACUAGUUGAUGCUGCAGCCGGGCAUCGAAUCAUAAGCUUUAUGGAUGGCAAUGCAGGAUAUAAUCAAAUAUUCAUGGCUGAAGGGGAUAUUCCAAAGACUGCAUUUAGAUGUCCUAGUCAUGUUGGGUUGUUUGAAUGGAUAGUCAUGACUUUUGGUUUGAAAAAUGCUGGUGCUACCUAUCAAAGGGCUAUGAAUUUUAUCUUUCAUCAAUUCAUCGGCGAGCUGGUAGAAAUUUAUAUUGAUGAUGUGGUGGUCAUGUCUGGAGAUUUCACAAAGCAUCUUGCCGAUCUACGAAAAGUGUUAGAAUGUACAAGGAAACAUGGUUUAAAGAUGAAUCCUAAUAAGUGUGCAUUCAGUGUAUCGGCAGGGCAAUUUCUCGGUUUCAUGGUGCAUCAGAGAGGAAUUGAAAUUAGUAGACGAUCUAUUAAUGCUAUCAACAAGAUAGUUCCCCCUACCAACUAAACUGAGCUACAGUCUUUGAUCGGCAAGGUGAAUUUUAUCAGGCGAUUCAUAUCUAAUUUGUCUGGUAAGAUUGGUGCUUUCAGUCCUUUGCUUAAAUUGAAAACCGAUCAAGAAUUUGUGUGGAGAAAAGAACAACAAUUGGCCUUAGAUGAAAUCAAGAAUUAUUUGAUAAAUCCUCUAGUCUUGAUUCCACCUCAGCAAGGGAAGCCCUUCAGAUUAUAUUUAUCUACCGAUGGACUGGUCAUCGGUUCGGCUUUGAUUCAAGAUUUUGAAGGGAAGGAGCGUGUGAUUUACUAUUUAAGCAGAAGAUUAAUUGAUGCUGAGACCAGGUAUUCGGCUAUUGAAAAAUUAUGUUUAUGCCUAUAUUUCUCAUGUAUUAAGUUGAGGCACUAUUUGCUAUCGGCCGAAUGCACCGUUAUAUGCAAAGAUGGUGUGGUCCGACAUAUGUUAUCUAUGCUAAUUAUGAGUGGUAGGAUCAGUAAGUGGAUUUUGGCACUGUCGGAAUUCGAUCUGCGUUACGAAUCGGCUAAAGCGGUUAAAGGACAGAUUAUGGCCGAUUUUGUGACUCAACAUCGGGGUGUAGUGGAGACUUUGGAAAUUGUGCCUUGGACGCUCUUCUUUGAUGGAUCCACAUGUGACAGGGGGGCAGGAAUUGGCAUAAUAUUAAUUUCCCCUUAGGGAAAGAAGUAUGAGUUCUCUUUGCCGAUUGUUGCCACGUCAACAAAUAAUCAAGCUGAGUAUCAAGCAUUGAUCAAAGGGUAGGAGUUGUUGAAAGAAGUUCAAGCUGAUGCUGUUGAAAUCUUCGGGGAUUCUAUGCUGGUUAUAAAUCAAUUGGCUGGAAAUUAUGAAUGCCAAAGCGAAGUCUUGAUAACUUAUUACGAAAAGAGUAUACAAUUAUUAAGGGAAUUCAAGGAUUUACGAUUAGAGCACGUUCCUCGGUUACAUAAUGAGGAGGCUAAUCGGUUGGCUCAGCAUGCCUCAGGAUAUCAACCCAUAUUGAACACGUUAUUGGCAAUCAGUGCCGAUGAUUGGAGAAAAGAAAUUAUUGAUUAUUUAUGGGAUCCAUCUAAGAAGGUUGAAAGGCGUGUCCGGUUUCAGGCUACUAAAUAUGUGCUCCUCGAGGAUGAGCUUUAUUAUCGAACAAUAGGUGGGUUCUUCUCAGAUGCUUAGGUGAUGCUGAAGCUAAAUGUUUGAUGGGAGAAAUCCAUGAAGGGGUGUGUGGAGUACACCAGUCGGCUUUUAAGAUGAAAUGGAUGAUUAGGAGGAACAGGUAUUAUUGGCCAACCAUACUUGAAGAUUGUUUUAUAUAUUUCAAGGCAUGUCAAGGAUGUCAGAAAUUUGGUAAUGUUCAGAGGGCACCCGCAUCGGCCAUGAAUCCCAUUAUUAAACCUUGGCCGUUCGGGGGACGGGCUAUUGAUCUAAUCGGCCAGAUUUACCCACUAUCAAGCAAAGGGCAUAAGUUCAUCUUGGUUGCCACCGAUUAUUUCACCAAGUGGGUUGAAGCUAUUCCUUUGAAGAAAGUCACAUCGGCCAAUAUGAUUGAUUUUGUGAAAGAGCAUAUUGUUUACUGAUUUGGUAUUCCUCAAACGAUUACUACCGAUCAGUGUACUAUGUUUACAUCAGGAGAGUUUGACGAAUUUGCAAUCGGUAUGGGAAUUAAAGUGUGGAACUCUUCUCCUUAUUAUGCUAAAGCCAAUGGGCAGGCCGAAGCAUCUAACAAAGGAAUAAUUAAGCUCAUCAAACGGAAGAUUGAAGAAAAUCCUAGGAGGUGCCAUACGUUGUUGAAUGAAGCUUUAUGGUCAUAUCGGAUGGCUUGUCAUGGAUCGACCAAAGUUUUGCCUUAUCAGUUGGUGUAUGGACACGAUGCUGUGUUGCCAUGGGAGAUUAAAACCGGAUCUAGGCGACUAUCUUUUCAAGAAUAGCUGACUGCCGAUGACUAUGAUACUUUAAUGAAAGACAAGUUAGAUGAUUUAGCAGGGCAUCGGCUGAAGGCUUUGAUGAGUAUAGAAGAAAAUAAAAAGAGAGUUACCAGAUGGUAUGAUAAGAAGGUAAAGACUAAGGAGUUUGCCGAUGGAGACUUGGUAUGGAAACUAAUCUUACCGAUCGGGACUAAAAGUUCAAAAUUUGGGAAGUGGUCUCCCAAUUGGGAGGGUCCCUAUCGGAUAAAUCUUUUGCUUCAGCACGUCUCCUGAGGAUUUCAGAAUGCCGAUGCUCUUAUGCUUCUCAUCGGCAAGAUGCUUUACCUUCAUCACCUCCUCUGAAAGCUGGUCAUAAGUGGCCCGAUCGGCAAGGCGCUGAGUGGCCUUUUGGUACUGAAGCUGUCGACUCUCCAAGUGUGUUGCCUUGAAGAGGAUCUCCUCGGCAUCGGCAGGGAUCUGGACUCUGAGAGCUUUAAAUAGGCCUUGGCUGGAUCAGAGUCACCAACCAGUUAGGCUGUAUCCUAGUGAAGUAGGGCCAGCAGAUCCUCCAGCUUUGCUCUGAUUUCUACCGAUGAGAUCCCAAUUGCUUGAGAAGAACUCGCUUCCUCACCUUCAUCCUCGGAGAUUUCGAUGGCGAAGGAGAACAGGCUAUCAGGAGAAUCUUGUUCCUGGAAGAGAAAAGGAGAUGAGUUAUUUGAUGAUGAAAUAUUAGUAAAAUAAAGGAUGAUAAUCAAAUAACUUACUUGUUUCAGAGCUAUCUCUCGCCUCUGGCUAGUUGAGGCCGAUGGUACUACAGGUUGAUCGGCUGGAGUUGCCGAUGAGACUAUGUCAGCUGAAAGAUUGAUAGAGAUAAUUAUAAAGUGGAAAAAUAGGUCCAUCGACAAUAAUUUCAUAGACAGUACUUUACCUUGAGGGGGUGCAACGCUUGUCUAGAUCGAGGAGACUACCGAUGCUAUGAUUGAGCUCACUGGAUCAGCGGUCUGCUCGUGUACAUCUGUUGAUAUCUCUUCUGGCUGGGUUCUUCUAGCUGAAGUUCUUAUAGCUGAGGUUCUUCUUGUGGCUGAGUUGGAGAUGGUGCUCACUGAGUCUGAGCUUCUGGUGAAGAAGGGGACGAUUCUACAUGAAUCGGUGAUACUGGGGGAGGAGAAGAAGGUGGUGUCGUUUUCUGGCGUUUUGCCUGUAACUUGGUGCUCUUGGGGCCUUUUCUCUUAGCUUGACUGGCUUGGGGGGCAUCGGCACUUGCCUUAGUGCUUCUGGUCUUGGCCGAUUUGCCAGUUUGCUGAUACAACAAUAAAGGUUUUAGUACGAGUGUAACAGAGUAUUAAUGGAAUGAUGGUUGAGAAAGUUACCGAUGAGGUGCCCAUGCCUGCCGAUGUAUCCUGAAAAAGCCGUAUAAGUAUGGAGUGGGAUCGGUGUAAAUUGAAGAGGUAAAAAUUUUCUACCUUGAAAACUUGCACCAGAGCAGCAGCAGCGACCGAUGGAGAUGUCUUGGUCCGCUUGAUGGUGAUUUUCUUGAAACGCGCACCUCGAUGCAUUAGGGCCACCAAACUUGGAGCGUUAUUGCCGAUCAAAGAAAUCGGCCCCGAUGGAAGUUCGAUCGGCCUACCACUUCUGCUGACCGAUGGCAGUGUAUCGUCAACCUGUGUAAAAUAGAGGAAGUAAGUUGCCGAUAAGAGCAAAAAAUAAUAAGAUUGAAGCAUCGGUUGAAGACUUACAGUGUUAUCAGGGACCUUGUACGCGGAGUCGAUCAUACCGCGGUAUGUGAAAGCCGAUCUGUAGAACAAAUGCUCCUUCCAUUCUGCCCACCAUUGUUUGUACACCUGGGUAAUGAAAAGAGCUGGGAUCCAGGCCGAUAGGUCAAUAUCUGAUGUAUCGGCGUUUGGUGGGAGUUGGGCAAUUCUGAUCCACUCAAGACCACUAGAGAUGGUUUCCCUUGGUUUCACCACAUCAGCAUAACAGAGUGCGGUCGGCAGCUGUCCAAAAGCCAAUUGACUGGCCAAUGCCGAUGGAUUGUAGAACUCAUAAGUAAGGUUGGAAGCUUUUCCACUGCCAAAGAAAUUCACCGGUAUAGCUCUCGGAGUGAUGAUUGCCAUCAUCAGAUCAUGGUCCUUGUUCAGAGCAUUAUCAAAGGGAUGAAAGGUCAGGGGAAAUCUGGUGUCUGGGUCUUCAUAAGGCAUCCACGCCCGUUGCUCUUUGGUCAGACCCUCGUAAAGAGUCUGAAAGAAUCGGCUAACCUUGUCUUGAUUGCCACUGGUACCAGGCAGAACUAUGGCAGCUUCACCAUAGUUCAGAGGGGGACGAGUUGCCGAUUCUUCCUCAUCCAGUUCGUGAUCUUCAGCUAUAUUUCUGGGGAAUCGCUGUGCAAAGAGAUCAAAUCCGAGGUGCUUAUGCAUAUGAACGCUAAGCCACAUGUUGAUGAACCACCAGGGUCCCCUAGAUUGCCGAUGGACUAGCCUAGAAAGAGUUUCUUAGCUACCUGAUGGAGGAGGUGAUAAGCAGCACGGAGCAGGUAUCGGCCAAGAGGAAAUCGGCCACCCUUGGCCAGUUUCUCCACUGCCGAUAGAUAGACAGAGGUUGGUCCUGCCGAUUGGCCACAGAAUACGAACUUGUCUAACCACAUGUUCAGGAAGAUUGUCUGCUCCCUCUCCUCGAUAGAUCCUGUCUUUUGGUAUUUCUAAAUAUAUCCAGACCAACCGCGGAUAGCACGAGUUUCUACUUUGGCACUGGGCUUGGUGUCAAACAAGUGAUUGCUAUCGGCAGUGGAUAUGUCUAAACCGGUGAGCAUGAGUACAUCGGCAAGAGUGGGUGAAGCAGGGCCAUGGCCGAAUACAAAAGCAUUGAGUGUGCCUGACCAAAAAUACGAGGCAGCUAUCAGCAUCGACUCGUUUCUCUCCAUAUCGGCAAGAGAUAAUCUGAUGCACUGGUCUAAUUUCCGUUCACCCCACUGGACCUCAUUUGAAUUGCUGACUCUCAAGAACCAGUCUUUCCAUCCCUUGGUGGGACUAGGCCAGGAACGAAAAGCAUCUUUCCAUAUAUCUAAGGAAAAGUUUUGGGCUCUGAAGGGGAUUCUAUUUGUCUCUACGUUUAUUAGAUCGGUGGAAUCUGGAUUUCCUAGCGGGCCAAGACAUUGGAAGUGGGGUUGAUCGGUAGGAAUUACAAUCUUAUCGGCCAAAUCCUAAAAAGUUUUGAGGAUAAAAGAACAAAAAGAAGAAAAAGAGUGUUCAGUAAAAGGAAUCGUGGAUGAACGGGAGUACAACAAAAGUGCGAAAAGAAAAAGGAUGAUGAACUGACUUCGGGGACGAUGAAGUUGAUGGCCAUUCCUUCUUGAGGGAAGGAGAGAUCGAAGGCUUUGAGGGUUGUUGGAGGAGAUCCUUGUUGCAGUUCUCGGAGUCCUCGAGUAUUGCCGUCGCCAAGAAAGUGGAUUUGGGGCUAUAGAAUGACAAGAUGGAGAAGGAGUACCGGAGAAGGAAAUAUUUAUAGGACAAAACGGGCAGGGGCAAAUCUGACUUAUCUCUUUGCCGCAUCCGUGAAAUCCGAGGGUGUUCAGGUGGAUAUGGUAACUGUUCGCACGGUAAUCAAGGGAUUGCGCAGGUGAUUUGACAGCAAGCGGUCAUGAUUUUGAAGAUACUUCACUGUACAAGAUCUCCUGGUCGGUCCAUCGGCAGUUCCCUCUAACGGUAAUAUUGCCGAUGGGCGCAUAAAGUGGAGAGAUUCGGUUCGGAAGGUUGAGGAAUUCAAGGAAUCUGUAGAGAAUCGGGCCAAGGUUGUUCGGAUUUAACGGUCGGUUGCUAAAUUGGUGGAAUUAAUUGCGGAAAGGCAUCAUUACUGUAGAGAAUUUCGGAGCAUUAAUGAUUUUAUACUCCGAAAUUGGGGGGCAUGUGUUGACACCGUUUUUGGACACGUAUCUUUUGACGCGUAUCUGGGGAUAGUAAAGUAUAGAUCGGCAGAUGAAGUAACGGUAACUAGUCUACAGGAAAGUUGCCGAUGAAGGUGGUUGCCGAUGAGGAAACAACUGAAUGUGACUAAGUCCAGAGGUGGUGGCGUGUUCGUGCCGAUGACCAGCAUCAAUGUUUGCCGAUGGCCACAACAAGAGGUCUGCCGAUGGCUUUGAAGAAAAACGUGGAGGUUGCCGAUUGAUCUGUGGUGGUGCCCCGGUCGGCUACAAGGGGGUAGUUUUAUAUUUUCCUUAGUUAUUAGAAUUCGUUUUGUGUACGGGUUCCGUUUAGUUUGGAAUUCGAGUCCUAGUCGUGUCUGGUUGUAGCUCUUCGGACAGGGUAUAAAUGUAGACCCUAGAGCAAUGUAAUGAAUCUAUCAAACAAUCAAACACAAGUUUUUUACUCAUAUUCCAGCAUCUACUUUUUCGAUGACUUCGUCAUAUUUUCUUUUUACUACGAGUUCUUAGGAAUUCGUCGAGUCAAAUUCGGCGUGUUCUCAAGUUCCGCGUGAUCACCUCUUGGCCGUGACAUGCGGGCGCAUCGCUGUUGUCAGGACCAAAGUGGUCGAGUUACCACCUUUGUCGAUUGUAAGGUCAAAUCGGCUGGCACGCCUUAACGUUUGAAUUGGGUAUUAGCCCUUUGUGUUUGCAGAUCAAUUUUGCACCAACACUUACUAGUAUGCAGUUUGUGCAUAAAGUACAUGCUUAAUAGGAUCAUGUAUUACAAAAGAAAAGUUUUAAAUUCAUAGCUUACCACUAUUGCUUGAUUGGUUAAUUGAUCUAGUGGUAUGUAUAUGAGUUUGUUCAUGAGCUUGUGAACCCAAGUACUUGAUCCAUUUUGGAUUGUUCACAUGUGGCAAGUACAACAUUGACAAGAUAACCCUUACUGUGAGGUGUGAAAAAGCUUGUCGUUGGUUCAAACCGGACUUGGAAGCUUAGGAAAAUCAAUAUAGUUCAAGUCAACAAUUAGAAGCGCAUGAUGAUUAGAGUACAAGAACUAGACAACAAUGCAAAUGGAUAUCUAGACUUAAAGGUUUCUUCAAUUGGUACAAUUGGUACUCAAGAUAGCAAAUGUUUAAGAUUGCAAACGAGUGGUUCCAAACUAGAAGACCUAAAUUGGUAGAAGAUUUCCAUUUGGUAUCGGACAAGUUCUUUCAAAUGAUAUCACAUUUAUACAUAAGGUAUCUAUCAUACAAGAAGGUGGUUCCACAAGUGAUCCUCAACUUUAAGUGAUCAUCAAGCGAAGCAAGUUCCCUCACCAACAAGAUUGUCAAGUGAAUGACCCAUGCUAUGACAUAGGGGGAGGUGCCCCACCGAUUGGUAUCAAGGUUAAAGAUCCUAUGUGGAAUCUCAAGAGAAAUACAAGUAAUGUCAUUCCAACACAUAUGGUGAUGUCCAUCAAAAAUACAAAAUUCAAGUCUCAACCAUCUACCCCAUAUGCAAUCCUUUGUCACAAUGAUAUGCACACCUUUUCAAUUGGUAUCAAGUGAUUUAAUUGGUAUCACAUACCUUAUAUGGAAAUUGAUGACAAAGUGGGAGAGAUUGGUACAAAGAUAUGAUAUAUAGGAAGUUGGUUUGUACAUGGACAUGGACAAAGAGGGAGCAACAUUAAGAUGGAUCAAGAAGGAUCAAAAUUCUUGGACAAGAGAAGCACACAAGUAGGGGGAGCAAGCUCAUGAACCUUGUUUGUUUGCAUUUGAUAUGUGCAUAUUCAUGUGCUUGCUUGCAUUGCAUAAGUUUUUAAAUUCAAUAUGCAUGCUUGUGUGGUGUAUGCUAGUUAUAGAACUUGAUGAUGAUGUGAUAACUAGCAUGCAUAGGUUGGUAGCUAGACUUGUCUUUUUCAAGUAAAAACUAGACCCUUGUUUAUAAUGUUGAUCUCACGGGGUUUCUAGUGUUUUUGUUGUCUAGCUACACAUGGUGCUAAGGAUGAUGUACAUCGAAUGUUUCAAAUGAUAUCGAAUUUGGUAUCGAGCUACAAAGGCUUACUCUAUACACCUUAGCACUUAGUAGGGUUUUAUGGUGCUUAUCCAAUUCUUGACAUAUAGCUUAAAUGUUGGAUAAGUAGCAUAAAAUCCAAAACAAGUUAGCAACUUACACUUGUGUGAAGUGCUAGCUUGAAAAAGCUUAAUUUCCAUAUCUUUGUAGAGUUGUCAUCAAUUACCAAAAAGGGGGGAGAUUGAAAGGUCCUUGUUUGGUUUUGGUAAUUGAGUGACAACUUAGGUGGACUAAUAAUGUUUAUAUGAGAUACAAAGAAGAUUAGUCCACAGCUGAAAAUGUGAUGACGAAGGAGCGAGACAUGACAUGGAGUCAUGUGACCAAGGUGGAGAAGAUCAAGAUGAGGCUUGGCUUGAUGGACCGGUUGCAAGAGUGAAGGGCAAGUCGAAAGCUUUAAAGCAAGGGACCGCAUGUGACAGUGAAGCUUGAGCAAGAUUUGGCAUCGAUGGACCGAGGCAACGGUGAAGAGCAAGUGAAGUCAAGAUCGAUGAACCAAUAUGGUCACAUGAUGAUAUGAAGUGGAUCAUAUCAUUUAUGAUUGGUAGGUGCAUGUGUUGCAUCAACAUUGAAGGAGUUGGAAUGGAAAGCACAAGGCAAAGGUAUAACCUAGGGCAUUUCCAUUUCACCGGUCAUAGGGGAGUAGAGAAGUGCUUGACUGGAUUUAGGAUAGAUAACUGUACUAUAAAGAGGGGAAAUCUUUAAUUGCAAUGGUUAUCUAGUGCCACUAAGUGUUGAGUCUCAUUUGCAUAUACCUAGCGCUUAAUGACGUGGUGAGUUGCAUGAGAAAGUCUAUAAAAAUGAUUGUGAAAUGCUAACACACAUGCACAUGGUGGUGUACACUUAGUGGUGUUGGCAUAUUUGCAAAGGAGAAGGUGUUGCAGUUGAUUUUGAUCAACUUGGUGAAGAGAGAAAGGUGUUUUGGUGUUCUCUGGACAAUAGGAUGGCUCUUGGAUUGCGACUUAGAUUGAGUAUUCAUAUGGAUUGUAUAGCCCUCUGAGUAAGCUUUCCAAAAUGUCUAAGAUCAUCGAAUUUGGAGUUCGAAGCUAAAAGUUAGCAGCCUAACAAGGUUUGAGAUGGUGCUGAGAAUGCAGGACCGGAAGUUCCGGUGGAACUUCCGAUGGUACUUCUGGUACUUGACCGAAAGUUCCGGUCAGCCUGGCAGGAUGUUCUGGUUGGGCUGUGAGAGGUGCGCUCGUGUUUGAGAAAACACUUUCAGUGUCUGACCGGAAGUUCCGGUCCAUGACCAGAAGUUUCGGUCCAUAACCGGAAGUUCGGGUCCAUGAAUGGAAGUCCGCAUAGGAGCCUUUGUGCAUGCCCUCGCGUGUUAGGAUUCACUUCCAGUCGGAAGUUCCGGUGGAACUUCCGAUGGGUCAGAGUCUCUCACAACAGUCAGAUCUGCUUGGCCACAACGGUCAGAUCUGCUUAGACUGAGGCUCCAACGGUCAGAUCUGGUUAGACCGAAAGUUCUGGUCCUAGGCACCGGAACUUCCGGUGCCACUCUAUAAAUACCGUUGGGAGCACGAGCUGAGUGUUAGAGGGAGCAGUUUUCUUCUUCCUACUCUUCUCCCUCCCCAUUUGGAACGCGAGGAAGUUAGGGUUCCUCCUCUCCUCUAUCUCUCCCAUGGAUUUGAGUUGAAAUUUCUUAGAGAGAUUGAGAGCCCUUUGUGGGUGUGGAUGAGAGGUUGAAGAUCCACCAUUUCCCCUUCGUCUCCCACUCAUGCUUCUAUUUUGAGUGAGGGAGUGAGAGCCUAGUGUGUGCAUUCGGGAUUUGCAUUUGGUGGCACUAGGAAAUCUUUGUGAUUGGGGAUUUCUUGUUACUCUUGGUGAUUUCCAUCACCUAGACGAUUUGGUGGAUUGUGACUCCGUUUGAAGCAUGCAAGAAGGUUGUGUGGUGCUCCAGAGGAGGAUUUGUGAGGGGUACGGUGCUCACCCCGUGGGGAUCGUGAAGAGAAACUCUAGUGGAUUGCUUGUGGCUUGGAGGAUCCCCAUCUUGAGAGUGGAUGUGUGGCACCUGCUGAGGGUUUGGCUUUGGAUUGUCAAUUAGCUCAUGAUCCAUCAAGUGGGCGUAUCGCCACAACGAGGAUGUAGCUUGGUGGCAACCAAGUGAACCUCGGUAAAAAUCACCGUGUCAACAUUGUCUACUCUUCUCGGUGGUUUGCAUUUGCCUUAUACAAGCUUGUAUUUACAUUCUAUGUACUUAUGCUUAUGUAGUUGCUCUUGUAACUAGUCUUGCUUGUGUUGCUUGAUAGUUACCUUCCUGCUUAUGUAGCUAGAAGUAGUUCCCUUGCGUGGCUAAUUUGGUUUGUGUAACCUUAUUAGUCACUUUGCUUAGUUUGUGUAACUAAGUAAGUUGCGCUCUCCAAUUUGGCAUUAGUUGCCUUGUUAUUGAGCAUUGCUAGUGAGCUUAGAAGCUUUGUGCUUUUGCUUACUAGCUGUAUAGGAGCUCCCCAGUUUCCAAAGUACUAGUGGCAUAGGUUUGUGUGACAUUGCUCCUAGAAUUGGUUAGGUGAGCUCUUGCUAAGGAAGCACCUUUUUUCUUGUUUAGGAUCUUUUACAAGGAGCUAGAGAACUUAGAUAGAGGGGUGUAGUCUUGGCUAGACCGAUAGUUUUAAUUCCGCAUUUGUUUCGGUUAGCCGGUGCAAUAAGUUUUAGAAAGGACUAUUCACCCCCCUCUAGUCCGCCAUCUCGACCCUUCAGAAGCCCUGUGGAGUAAGCUACUGAGCAAGAGGCUGAGCAUGGUUGCUGAGCUCCUCGCCACGGCCAAAAAUUAUGCCGAUGCUGAGACAUAGAAAAGCUCAUCAGAGAAGACGUUAGAGGAACCCAACAAAACGAGCAGCCUCCUCGACGAGAUGACACCCAAGACUACCGCAGAUGUUUCGACAAUCGCAGCCUUCGGCGCAACAAUAAUCGCGACCACCAAGAAGGGUGUGAUAGGCGCCGCAACCACCGUGACGAUUUCAGGGGUAAACGACCUUGCGACAACAACCUCAAAGUCAACACAAUCAAGCAUUUUAUGGGUCGACGCGAUUAUUAGGAAGACUACAAUAAAACCUUGAAGGGGUCAUGCCAACUUCAUCCCAAGUCCAAACACACAAUGAAGGAAUGUCGUGUCCUCAAAAGCAUCUACACACAGCAGGCCACUCAAGGUGACACCGCGAAAGCAGCGGGGAAGUGCGACAGGCGCAACCAGGAGGACGAGGACGAAGACUAGGACAGAGAUCCACACCACCAAUACGUCAACCCAACCGACAUUGUCCAUUCCAUCUUCGGAGGGAAAUUCUCAAUUGAAUCCAAGAGGGAGAGGAAACUCCUUAAAAGAGCCUACUUGAACAUGGACAGCUUCGACGGCCUGGUCGCCGACCCAAAGUUUCCACCCUGGUCCCAUCGAGAGAAUCUUUCAGCAGACAGGACCAAUGGGCCACCAUCCCCGAGCUAGGACAUUUUCCUCUGAUCUUGGACCCAUGCAUUAACAGCGUCAGAUUGGAAUGCGUUCUCGUAGACGGUGGCAGCUCCAUCGACAUCCUAUUCCGCAACAGUCUUCCUGCCCUUAAACUAACCCAAGCACAGCUGAAGCCGUACAAAGCUCAGUUCUGGGGUGUCCUACUGGGCCAAAGUUCAAUCCCUCUCGGCCAGAUAACGCUACCUAUACAGUUUGGAACUCCUGACCACUUUCUCAUAGAGUUUGUGAACUUCGUGGUCGCCGACUUUGAUGGAACAUACCACGCCAUACUGGGUCGUCCCUCACUCACUAAGUUUAUGGCAGUUCUGCACUAUUCGUACUUGGUGCUCAAGAUGCCAACCGAGAAGGGAGUCCUAACUAUUAGGGGCAACAUUUACACAGCAUACACUUGUGAGGAGGAAAGCUUCAAGGUCACUGAAGCCAUCGACCUCUCGAUUCAGAUGGUAAAAGCCGUGUCCCAAGCAGCACAAGCCCCGUCUGACCAGCUCGAAGUGCCCGAACAGCAGACCUCAAGGAAGAACGUCAAGUCUAGAGAACAUAAGGAAGUCCGACUAGUCGACAACGAUCCUGAGAAGACGGCUCUCAUCGGAGCCAACCUAGAUCCUAAAUAGGAAGACACGCUCGUCAGGUUUCUAAGGGACAAAGUAAGCGUUUUUGCAUGGAAACUCGUAGACAUGCCCGGUGUCCCCUGUAACCUGAUCAAGCACUCCUUAAACGUCUCGAAGACCGCAAGACCAAUCAAGCAGAAACUAUGACGGUUCACUCGUGACAAAAAGGAGGCUAUUAGGACAGAAGUUACACGGCUAUUAGCAGCUGGGUUUAUUAAAGAAGUGUAUCAUCCCGAUUGGCUAGCCAAUCCAGUUCUUGUAAGAAAAAAGAAUAAUGAAUGGAGAAUGUGUGUUGAUUACACCGAUCUUAAUAAGCAUUGUCCUAAGGACCCCUUUGGUCUCCCUCGCAUAGACGAGGUGGUCGAUUCAAUGGCUCGAUGCGAAUUACUCUUUUUUCUCGACUGCUACUCUGGUUAUCACCAGAUCUCUCUAAAGGAGGACGAUUAGAUUAAGACCUCCUUCAUCACUCCCUUUGGAGCAUAUUGCUACACGGCCCCUUCGGACUGAAAAACGCCAGAGCCACAUAUCAAUGUGCCAUUCAGCAAUGUCUCCAUGAUGAAAUAUGCGACGACCUAGUCGAAGCCUAUCUCGAUGACGUUGUCGUGAAAACCAAAGACGCUAGCACUCUGAUCGAUAACCUUGACCGAACCUUCAAGGCGCUAAACAAGUAUAAAUGGAAACUUAACCCCAAAAAUGCAUUUUCAGGGUUCCCUCCGGCAUACUGCUCGGCAACGUCAUCAGCCGUGACGGCAUAAGCCCUCCAAAGUUAGGGUAGUUCUCGACAUGCGACCACAAAAAAUGUCAAAGACGUACAGAAACUCACAGGAUGCAUGGUUGCUCUUAGCUAGUUCAUAUCUUGACUAGGAGAAAAAGGGCUCCCUUUCUUCAAACUACUCAAAGCAUCCAAAAAGUUCGCCUGGACAGAAGAAGCCGACACAGCAUUCAUGCAACUCAGGGCUUUCCUCACGUCUUCCCCAGUCCUUACUGUGCCUCAACCCAACGAGGUCUUACUCCUUUACAUCGCGGCUACUGAUCGAGUCGUCUCAAUGGUGCUCGUAGUAGAGCGAGAAGAACCAAGCCACAUCUACAAAGUUUAGUGAAUAGUGUACUUCAUAAGCGAGGUCUUAAAUGAAUCCAAGACCAGGUAUCCCUAGAUACAAAAGUUGAUUUAUGCUAUCAUCAUCACUUCUAGGAAAUUAAAGCAUUAUUUCGAUGACGACCACAUCAUGGUAAUGACAAGUUUUCCGUUGGGGGACAUAUUGCGUGUCACAGAACCGACCAAAUUAUAAGAGUUCAAGUGCAGAAACGAUCGCCAAGCAAUCAAGUUUCCAAACUUGAGCCCAUAUAAUCCCGGUAGUCAAUUGAAAUCACGAAGGACUUCAAACCAACUCGCAACAAACCAAGAUCGUAAUAGUUCAACAUAAACACAGCGAAUGUUACAGCCAUUCAUUGCCGUCGAAGCGGCACCACAUCGGAGUCAUUAAGUUAUUACAACCCAAGUUCGAAGUAGUGGAAGCAAAAUAGUUACACACACUUGAUCAAAGUUCAGUUCACAAGUUCUUGUUACUGCCAGAGUCUACACCAUCCUUCCAAAAGCAUCAGAGACGAGAUUGUUAGAGAACCGUGCCCAACGGUUAGUCCUCAUCCCCAGCGGGAUGGAGACAGGUCUUGCAGAAGCCGUCAUAAAAGAUGUCAUCUGCAACAGGUGGGAAUAAACCCUGAGUACGGGAAUGUACUCAGCUAGACUUACCUGUCUAGUAGAACAUAAAAGACACCAAGGUUCAUGCAAGGCUACAUAUCAAGUGGAGCUGGUUGACUCACCUUUUGCCAAAAGCUUAACUCACAACUAAGUUAUUUUGAGAGCAUCAUAUUUAAUUAUCAUCAACCUACCACUAGAUUGGCACCUAUACUACCACACAUCACUUGAUUAUUACAACAAUAAUAACCAUAUCAAAUUCAUCAUAUGUUCUUCUUGCUAUCAUCAUUGUCAUGAACCAAGUUCAUUAGUGAAUGCUACGUUUGCCGCUGCUCUGUCAAGUUCUCACUAACCGGGAGAGACGGCGAUUCGAAUCGAAUUCCUAUCCAGCUGGAGGGUUAUUCCUAGCACUCACCCAAGCAUCCCCUGCCGGAGAGCCAACGGGUCACCUUUGGUACAACUCAGGAAUCGCGGCUCCGAUCAGCGCCGCACUCCCAGGGCUACCACUCUGCCAGGGAGGUCAGGAAUUUUAACUCACCUGCCUUUGGGCUUACGCCAAUGGUCCCCCGCACACCGCACUUCCUCCGGUAGUGCGCACUUUAUACUUGCCGGUCUUCCGGCCUGAGUCAUACUACUCGGCUUCGCGGUCGGAACGAGUUAUCCGGCCAACUAAGUGUUAGGCAUGCGUUCAACAUGACAAGAGGACGUACAACGAUCGGUCCUUAGCUGCCACAGACGGAGUUACUACAAACUUGCAAAACUCCGCCCGGCUUAAGUCAAUUUAAUCAGAUUCCAUCCACGAUGGCACAUAUAGACCAUCGUGAUCCGACAUAGCCCUAUAUCGCGCAGGUGACACGAUAUCACCCGACUUCUACCGAUUAAAGCAUGGCUAAGCUGCUACUCGAUCCUAACUCUACAACCAGGGUAGGGUGAAUUAUCUGGACAAGGAUAGAGUAAAAUGCAGCAAGGGUUUCAUCACAACUCCUAUACGUAAUGCAUCAAUAGAUAUAACAUAUUAAUUAAACUUUUGAAAGUAAAGGGAGACUUAGAAUGCUCCGGGGCUUGCCUUUCACGAACGAUGCCGGCUCGUGAUUCGGGCACUCAACUUCUUCUUCGGGCUCUUCGAGUCCGGCUUGCUGGACCUCGACCUCUUGGCUGCCCUCCUGACCUUCGGGAUUCGCCUGCAGCUCGUAGGAGGCUGUCGCGUCCGAUGCACCUAUUGCAUGCUCGAAGAAUAAGAAGAUGCACAUGCUAAAGAUGAAUGCUUAAUAACACAAGCAACUCACUGGGCACUCAUUUACGGAGCAAAAGUUAUACAAGCUCACACAAGUAAACAAGUUAGCUUAGCCCCAAAACCUACCAUGAUACUAAAUCAGCAAGCAACACGAAACAGGAGUAAUCUGGUAAAUAAAUCAUAACUAAUGAUAGACAGAUCCAACAAACACAAAUAAAGACAUUCUGGAAAGCUUAUGAAAUUGUCUACAAAUCAUCUUUAAACAUCACAGCAUGAUUCAUACAUUAAACCAGACAUUUAAACAAGGUUCCAGGUUCUGUCCCAGAAAAACAGAGAGCACCUAUUUCUGGAACCCAACUUGGAACAGCCAUAACUCUUAAACUAUUGGACCAAAUGAUCCCAAAUUUAAACCAUAGCUAGUUCAAUAUGUUUACUACAACUUUGAUUUAGACAAGUUGCCCAUAAAACCAAAUUAGCAUUAAGCAAAAGUUAAAUUGCUGCCUUGCUGUCCAGAACAGCCUUUAACCCUAUAAUUAAUUAUUUAAUAACGUGACCAAGACACAAACCAUGCCAACCACAUGGCUUAUGACCACAAGCAAAUUAUAAUACAACCAGAACACCAGAUGGAAACUUCCAAACAUUUACUUAACAAGGCAUUUAUUAAUUAAUUCUAGAAAGAAGCAUAAUUACAAGAUGCCUAGUCAAAGUGCUCAGAAAAAUCUACAAAAAUUACAGAAGUACAAGAAUAGCAUCAAAGCCUCACUAUAAACAUUUCAGAGCAAUUGCACAUACCAAAUUAAAGAUAUGUAUUUAACAUGUAACUAGGUGUUUAUUUCAUAAAUUCAGAAACAUGACUUAUAUGGUACCAAACAAUAGAUUUCAGAUUAUUUAUAUCUUAGGAAUACCAUAAACAGGUUUACUACCAAAGUAGAACACCAGCAUAAGCACCAAUUAUUUUAUAUGAUUUAAUUAAAGAAACAAGCCAAAUUUCAAGCAUAACAUACAUAUCAAAUCUGCAGUACUCCAAAAAUCAUGAAAUAUUUACCACAGCACUCUAAUAUCAUACAGAGACUACCAUAAAAUUUUCAGAUUAAACUAAGCAGUAUAACCAGAGAUAUGAAUUUAUCCAUGAAUAACAAGAUUAAAUACUUAAUAAAUAUUUUCCCAGAAAACAUGGUUCAUUUUAUAUUUUUAUUAAAAACUAGCCAUCUCAAGGAAUACCACAAAAUUGGUUUCACAAUUUUUGGAUCUCAGAAACAGGAGAUAUGAUUUUUGCAAGAAAGCCAAAAAUCAGGAUUUUGAAUAAAAGAAAAGGAGGGAAAGAGGUGACACUGACAGUGGACCCCAUCUGUCGGGUCCUUCUUCCUCGCGGCCGAGGCGACUUUCGCCGGCGAUUUCUCCGCGACGGCGAGGUCUCCGGCCAAACCAAGGGCACCAACGUGAUCCCCAAACCCUAGCGACUCGAUUGACCCCUUUUCCCCACGGCGGAGCCACCGGAAGGGGCUCACCGUCGACGAUGGCGGCUCGGCGGAGGUGCUCGGCGUUACGCCGGAGCCCUCAGGCCGGUAGAGCGCAACCUAAGGCCUUCUACAGCACCAGCGGACUACGGCGAAGCUUCCUAGGUACGCGGCUUGGCUUGGAUCCUCGUGGAAAACGCUGGCCACGAGAGCACCCAUCUCCGGCGGAAGCACGGCGGCGCUGCGCACCGUGUCCGGCGACGGAGAGCUUGGUAGAGCGUCCACCAAGUGGCGCAAAAGCUUGCUAAGAACCUAAGCUACCUCUAGGACCUAACCAGAGAUGACGAGAGGCUUCACAGGGCUCGGCAUUGAGUUCACCAGAGAAAACGGUCAUGGCGACCCGAUUUGGGGGAAGAAGGAAAUGUCGGCUCACCGGUGGGUUUCUCGGCGAGUUAGAGGGUGGAGAUUGGAGAGCGGUUCACGGCGGAGCUUUGGGUGAAUUUUGGUGGGCAAUGGCGCAGCAGGGAAUGCGCGCGAGCUCGCCGGAGUAAGCUCGCUGAGGAGAGCUCUCGGCGGCCGCGUUUCUGGCGAGCAGGGCGAGGGAGAGCGAAGUGGACGCGUCCACUCUGCGCGGGCGACGCCGUGGAGGUCAUGCACGCGACGGAAGCUGACAGGCGGGGCCAGGAACGGUGUACGGGCGCCAAAUGUCGACGGAGCUCUGCCGCCGGUUGGCCACGUCGACGAGCUCGGCUUCGAUUCAGAAGAAACGAUGACAGUCUGACAGAGCAACUUCACCGAUGAUUAUCUCCCAAACCAGACCGAGUUAGAAGAUGAUGCAGUUGACAAAGUUGGAGUUCCAAUCGAGUUCUACAACUUUGUCAACUAGAGCAAAGGCCAGAUCGGCCGGGAUUGAGAGAUAUAGAGUUUUCAAAAUCGAUCGAGCAAACUGGUUUCGUUCCAAGACUUAGAAAAUUUUCUAAGUGUUGGAAACAGUCCCAAAUCUGCCUUGUGGUUCACUUUUGAGCUAUUUCUGAGCAUUUUCAUGAGAUGGCCAUAAAACAACUUUUGUUCCUUAUAAAAUUUGCUACAACUUUGCUGUAGGAAGUUUUGACAUGCAAACAUUUUAUAAAACACUUUUUAAAAGCCUAAGCAAAAGAGGUUUCUAGGGCCUAUUUGCACAAACAUGACUUCAAGGCAUAUUUUGGAGGAGUGAUCAACAUGAACAUUGUUCCCAAGGUUAUGUUAAGCAUAGAUAAACUAAUUACCAAAGCAUUGAGCACAAACACAAGCAUGGUUCACUCAAACAUAAGCAUAGGAAGCCUAUUUAAGCAAUUUAAAACACAUUUUUGCAUAGAAUGACAUGGCUCAAGAGAGAUGAUGAUCAUGAUAUGCUUUGAGUAGAUGAUGAUGCUCAUGCUAUGCACAUGAUUGAUGCAACCAUAACACUGGGGUAUUACAGCCCUCCCCCUUACAAAAAUCUUGUCCCGAGAUUUGAAGGCUUACUGAUUUUCGAAGAAGGUUUUGUAAACUUCUUUUAAAUAAUCCUCCGUCUCCCAAGUGGCAUCUUCUUCCCCGUGGUUGCUCCACAACACCUUGUAGAGCUUAACCACACAAUUACGCGUCUCCCGUUCCUUGCGAUCAAGAAUCGCUACGGGUUUCUCCUCAUACACCAAGUCAGACUUCAACUUGAUAUCUCGAAUUUCCACUCGUUCCUCCGGUACACGAAGGCACUUCUUCAAUUGUGAUACGUGGAAUACAGGGAAAAUAGCCCGAAGCGCAACUGGAAGUUGAACUUUGUACACCACAUUACCUUUCUUUUCGAGAAUCCGAUAAGGUCCCACAUAACGAGGUGCAAGCUUUCGCUUGACUCCGAACCUUUGUACACCUUUCAUCGGAGACACCUUGAUGUACACAUGGUCACCAACUGAAAACUCAAUCGGCUUCCUUCUCUUGUCGGCAUAACUUUUCUGACGAGCUUGAGCAGCUUCCAGAUGUUGCUGGAUAGUACGGACUUUCUGCUCCACUUCGUUCACGAAAUCGAUGCCAUAAAACCUUCUCUCUCCGGCUUCUACCCAAUUCAACGGGGUUCGACACUUUCGACCAUACAGGGCUUCAAAUGGAGCCAUCUUGAUACUCUCCUGAUAAAUAUUGUUGUAGGAGAACUCGGCUAAUGGCAACCACUUAACCCAAGAACCUUUUGAAGAGAGAGCGCAUACCCUCAACAUGUCUUCAAGGAUUUGGUUAACUCGUUCAGUUUGACCAGCUGUUUGGGGAUGAUAACAGAGCUGCAGAUUAAAUGAGUGCCAAUUUGCUCAUGCAAACAUUCCCAAAAACGAGCAGUGAACUGUGGUCCACGAUCGGAUAUGAUUGUUCGAGGCACACCAUACUGACGAACAAUGUGCUCGAAAUACAACUCCGCAUACUGAUGUGGACGAUAGUCAGUUCGAACUGGAAUAAAUCAAGCAACCUUGGUCAAGCGAUCUACAAUCACCCAGAUGGAGUCGUAACCCUUAACAGAAGUUGGGAGUCCACUGAUGAAAUCCAUGCUGACUUCUUCCCAUUUCCAAGCAGGAAUUGACAGGGGUUGAAGCAAACCAGCUUUCGAACAGCCUUCACACGACAACAAUUGUCACAACGAGCGACAAAAGCAGCGAUCUCCUUUUUCAUCUUUGUCCACCAAAACAAAGGUUUUAGAUCCUGAUACAUCUUGCUACUACCAGGAUGGAUAGACAAUUUGGAUGAAUGAGCUUCAGAUAAGAUCUGAUUUCGCAGCUCGCGGUCUUUAGGAACCACAAGUCGAUCCUUGAACCAAAGAAUUCCGUUCUCAUCGACCCGGAAAUGAUUGGUUUCUUCUUCCUUCAUUUUCCUUUUUAUAUGGUGGAUACCUACAUCUGUCUGCUGCAAUUCGAUGAAUCGAUUGCGAAUGGUACUUUCCAGAGAAAUCUAGUUGAGCACAAGUGGAUGCAUAAGAUGUGACAACAACAGGUCUUCCACUUGGAUUGAGUGACAGUGCGCUUUCCGACUCAAGGCGUCCGCCACCACGUUUGCCUUGCCCGGAUGGUAGUGCACUUGAAGAUUAUAAUCUUUAAUCAACUCAAGCCACCUUCGCUGCCGCAUGUUCAGUUCAGGUUGAGUGAAGAUAUACUUGAGGCUCUUAUGAUCGGUGUAGAUAUUACACAGAUUACCCAUCAAAUAGUGCCUCCAGAUUUUUAAAGCAUGAACGACUGCCGCCAAUUCUAAGUCAUGAGUAGGGUAAUUGACCUCAUGCUUUCGAAGUUGGUGCGAGGCAUACGCGAUAACGCGACCUUCCUGCAUCAACACGCAGCCUAAACCAAUGCUUGACGCGUCACAAAAGACAUCGAAGGGCUUUUCGAUAUCAGGUUGAGCUAGGACAGGAGCUGAUGUUAGUAAUGUCCUCAACUUGUGGAAUGCCUCUUCACACUCAGGCGUCCACACAAACUUCUCAUCCUUCUGAAGUAGACGAGUCAUAGGCUUGGAUAUUUUGGAGAAUUCUGGAAUGAAUCGACGAUAAUAUCCAGCCAGACCAAGAAAACUCCGAACCUCGUGUACCGAAGUUGGAACUUUCCAAUCCAGCACAUCUUGCACCUUGGAUGGAUCCACCGAUAUGCCUUCUUCAGAUAAGACAUGGCCCAAGAAAGGUACUUUCUUCAGCCAAAACUCGCAUUUGCUAAACUUGGCAUAAAGCUGAUGUUCACGCAAACGCGACAACACUAUACGCAGAUGCCCUGCAUGCUCCUCUUCAUUGCAGGAAUAUACCAAGAUAUCAUCAAUGAAGACCACCACAAACUUGUCUAAUUCAGGCAUGAACACCGAAUUCAUGAGAUACAUGAAGUGAGCAGGUGCAUUUGUGAGACCGAAGGACAUGACAAGGUACUCAUACAACCCAUACCUCGUCGAGAAAGCUGUCUUAGGUACAUCUUCAGGACGGAUUUUGAUCUGAUGGUACCUAGAUCGCAAAUCAAUCUUGGAGAAUACCUUAGCUUUAGACAACUGAUCAAACAAGAUAUCUAUGCGAGGAAGAGGGUAUUUAUUCUUGAUGGUCACCGCAUUUAGGGGACGAUAGUCCACACACAUGCGCAAAGAUUGAUCCUUCUUCUUCACAAAGAUAGCCGGACAACCCCAAGGAGAAGAACUAGGACGAAUAAGACCCUUCUUCAACAACUCAUUUAGUUGGGUUUUAAGCUCAGCUAAUUCAUUGGGUGGCAUUCUAUAAGGUCUUCUAGAGAUAGGAGCGGUACCUAGAAUCAACUCAAUCUUGAACUCCACAUCCCGAUCCGGAGGAAGCCCGGGUAAAUCAUCAGGAAAAACAUCCGGAAACUCACACACCACCGGAAUAUCUUGAAUAGCCUUAGAUGUAACUGCAUUCACAGUGUUACGGAUUUGAAUAUCCUGAGGAAGUUGCACUAGAAAUGCCUCCUUGGUGUUUGGGUCUUUCAACAUCACUACACGAGUGGUGGUGUCGAUCAGAACUCCAUUACCACUCAUCCACUUCAUCCCCAGAAUUACAUCUAUGCCCACACCGGGUAGGACAACCAAAUCAGCAAGAAACUGAUGGCCUCCUAUUUCUAGAGUUGCCCCCAAACCACUUGAUUGGUGGAAAUAUCAUUUCCCACAGCACUAAUACAAUAACUGCCCUUAUCAAGUGUAAUUGCCUUGAUAUUAUGCUUAGACACAAAUUCAGAACUCACAAAAGAAUGCGAUGCUCCUGAAUCAAAAAGCACCAGUGCAUCAUGUUGAUUAACCAGAAACUUACAAGCCGUGACUACCUCACCAGCAGGGAUUGCUUCCACAGUGGUGUAGUGAACACGCCCCUGACGGACGUUCCCUUGGUUGCCCUUCUUCGGCGGGUAAGGACAGUUGCUCUGCCAAUGCCCGGUCAGAUUGCAGUUCCAGCACGGACGGUUGGCAGGCGGAGUCUUGGCAUAGUUGGGACCCGUGUUGCCCCUAGGAAGAGCAAUAGAGUAUCCCUUGCGAAAACCCAUCUUGGCCUGAUUCUUCUUCACUGGAGGGCGGUACCUUUGAUUCGGCGUUGGAGCACGGAACGGUGGCUUAGCUGCCACUGGAGCCUUGGACUGAGAUGACCUAGCCCCAGCCUCAAAAGCCCUCUUGCGAGUCUUGGUUGCAGUGUACACAGUGUUAUAGUUCUCUUGAGUGAGAGCAUCACUGAAAAACUCAUUGAAAGUUGCACACUUAGUGCGGCCCAUAGUCUUCAGCAAUUUGGGGCCCAAACCCCGCUUGAAACUAGCAAUCUUUUUCGUCUCUGUGUUCACAAACUCAGGAGCAUACCUAGACAAAUGAUUGAAAGCAUGCAAAUAUUCCUUCAAAGUCCUGUUGCCCUGAGUUAACUGCAUGAACUCAGUAUGCUUCAUCUCCAUAACACCAGGAGGAAUGAAAUGCCCUUUAAAAGCAUCAUGGAAAAGAUUCCAUUCAAGCACGGUGUCGGCUGGAAGAGCUUCCCGAUACUGAUUCCACCAGAUGCCUGCUGGGCCCUGUAGUUGAUGAGCUGCAUACUCUGCCUUCAAACCUUCAGUCAACCGAAGCAAGCGGAACUUUUGUUCCACCGUGUUCAGCCAUUCUUCAGCUUGAAGGGGUUCUUCAGCUUCUCUGAAAGGUGGGGGCUUCGUAUCCAUGAAGUCCUUGAAGCUACUGUACUGGUUAGGAGCAGGACCUUCGUGUGCAUUACGACCACCCGGAUUUGCCAUCCGAUUGAUGGUCUCGGUGAGCAUCCUCUGAUUUUCCACCAUCAUUUGCAUUAACUCAGCAGGAUUGGGUGGUGGAGGAGGAGGUGGUGGAUUCAUGUUUGCACGCUGUUCCGCACCUUGGGUGCCACGAGACAUCUGUAAAGACACAGUCAGUGAGUAUUGAUGAUGACAAGAUUUGCCGCAGAAGAACUUGUAUUUAUGCCUGAAAGUAUUCGAGAGAAUAGCUUUACAGAAAAGGCACAAUAAUUCAAUUCCACAAAACAACAUCACCAAUCCAACACAUGACAGAGAUAUCCGCAAUAUGCACCACAACGGGAAACAUCAUCAUAACAUAACAAACAUGUUAAGAUUGCACAUUGGGUCCACAAAGUUAUUACAUCAUCACAGUACAUGCCAUGAGUCAAGGUCAAAGUUUCGGAUUACAACAUGGUUACAAAAGCACCACGGCCGACUAGCAUACUGCAAAAGAUCCUCACACAACACUACCCACUACUCCCUACACUCCAGGCUCGUCGUCCGAGUCAGCGUCGAAGAUCGCCUCUACAUCCUCAUCGCUAACCGGCUCAAGCUCCUCGUCCUCCACGUCCUCGUGCAAAGGUGGUGCAGCCGCUGCUGGUCCAUCAACCUCCAUACCAUCAUCAUCGGCCACAAUCACCUGAGGUCCCACCUCUGGAUACACAGGUAUAGGGCGAGGAAUAGGGUGUAGCAAGUUGUUGAGACGGUGAAUCUCCACAAGACCAGCCUCAUCUGAUCCUGCAGAUAGUUCUCCCGCUCAAGCGACUGAACUCGGUGCAUCUCCCAUGCUUGGCGCCUGUUCUCCGACACACGGAGUGCAGUAUCCCUCUCACGGGUGAGCUGCACCAAGCGCUCCUGUAAGGUCUCCCUCUCUCUAGCUAACUGGCUCAUCUGAUCCUGCUUAUGAUCUCUCUCCCUAAUGGCCUUCACCCACUGCUGCCUACGGUACUCCGCAAUGCCUUCCCAGUCAUUGCGGUCCUUCUGAGCUUGCUCCAGGAGUCUAGCUUGCUUGCGAAACUUGCGAGCACGCUUCUCAGCCUUCCGCUGCAUCUCCUAGGCCCUGCGAACAGCCACCAUCACCUAUGCAUAGGUGCCCUCUCGCUGACUAAUCAGCUUGAGCACAGCCAUCAUAGCACUCAUAGCAGGACUAGAACUCUCAGCUCUCUCUCCCCUGCCUCGAACGAAAGCACAACUGUCAGCCUGUUUCCACUCCGCUGCUGCUGGGUCAGCACUGGGAAUGGAGGCCGCUGGUCCUCCCGUCAGCUCAUCACCACACCUCUGACAGAUAUCGAGCAGGAUAGUCUGGGCUGCAACCUGAGCUGCCUCCCAAGGAGUCUGCCCAUCUGAGCUACAAGUCCAGCCUGUCCAUGCCGGCUUGUCCCCAUGUGGAGGGACAACUCCCUGCACAGCAAACUACUGAAUCCCUCCUGUGCUCUCCAUCUCCCACCAAGAAUACUGAGGUGGCUCAGUAUACCCAACAGUCCGUAACACCCUCUAGAGUAGGGUAGGAGUACCAAACUCGUGCAAGAAAGUGUCACUGGGACGGGGUGAAGCGGGUGCGUCCAUCUGUGGAAAGGAAUAGGAAUACCAUAGGUAAAAGAGGAUUAGUUUAAGCAACAUUUGUUUAAUUAAAAGGGGCGACAUUGUAAGGGAAGAAGUAGACAGAAUGUAUGUAUGAAUGCGACAUGAUGCAUGCACGAACCAUACGUCCUCACAAACUUAGAAAAUUAAUAUUCUAACGGAUAUACGGUGGCAUACAUUCGUCUCUCGAUACGAUAACUAUCGGUUUACACGUGCGCUGUUAGAGUACCUACAGAAAACUUCAUUUCAGCCCAACAGCUCCCAAUGAAUCACUCAAGAAAGCAGUAAACUAAGUGCACAUUGCUUGGACAUGCCCAACAAGCACAAACAAUGACACCACAACUACCCGAGAAAUUAAAUGCUCUCCAAUUAAGUUUCUUUCGUGGUUCCAUGGUUUCGACAUGUAACCACUCCAGAAAACCACCGCGAACACUCCCCUAGACCGCCGUUUGGACGAUCAUGCUCUCACAGCUCACACUUACCAGGGCGUAGGUGCGACGUUGCAUAAUUUAAAUCUAGCGACAUAUGUGGCUAAUUCACAUAUGAAGGCUACCUCUACCAUUAGACCACAGGGUAGCAUAGUGCAGUCAUCACACAUCCAUACCUGAGUACUGCCGGAGAUGCAUAAAUAAAACCCCCCAAGUCAGUACUUAAAUAGCCACCUAUAGUCCUUAUGUGGGCAAGGAGGAUUCGACCACUGGCAUAACUUAAUUAUUUAUUUUACACCAUUUUAUUUAAAAAUUCUUUUGUUUUAAAUACACAAACGCUGCAUUUAUAAUGCUGAACUUGCUCUGAUGCCAGCUGUCACAGAACCGACCAAAUUAUAAGAGUUCAAGUGCAGAAACGAUCGCCAAGCAAUCAAGUUUCCAAACCUGAGCCCAUAUAAUCCCGGUAGUCAAUUGAAAUCACGAAGGACUUCAAACCAACUCGCAACAAACCAAUAUCGUAAUAGUUCAACAUAAACACAGCGAAUGUUACAGCUAUUCAUUGCCGUCGAAGUGGCACCACAUCGGAGUCAUUAAGUUAUUACAACCCAAGUUCGAAGUAGCAGAAGCAAAAUAGUUACACACACUUGAUCAAAGUUCAGUUCACAAGUUCUUGUUACUGCCAGAGUCUACACCAUCCUUUCAAAAGCAUCAGAGACGAGAUUGUUAGAGAACCGUGCCCAACGGUUAGUCCUCAUCCCCAGCGGGAUGGUGACAGGUCUUGCAGAAGCCGUCAUAAAAGAUGUCAUCUGCAACAGGUGGGAAUAAACCCUGAGUACGGGAAUGUACUCAGCUAGACUUACCCGUCUAGUAGAACAUAAAAGACACCAAGGAUCAUGCAAGGCUACAUAUCAAGUGGAGCUGGUUGACUCACCUUUUGCCAAAAGCUUAACUCACAACUAAGUUAUUUUGAGAGCAUCAUAUUUAAUUAUCAUCAACCUACCACUAGAUUAUCACCUAUACUACCACACAUCACUAGAUUAUUACAACAAUAAUAACCAUAUCAAAUUCAUCAUAUGUUCUUCUUGCUAUCAUCAUUGUCAUGAACCAAGUUCAUUAGUGAAUGCUACGUUUGCCGCUGCUCUGUCAAGUUCUCACUAACCGGGAGAGAUGGCGAUUCGAAUCAAAUUCCUAUCCAGCUGGAGGGUUAUUCCUAGCACUCACCCAAGCAUCCCCUGCCGGAUAGCCAACGGGUCACCUUUGGUACAACUCAGGAAUCGCGGCUCCGAUCAGCGCCGCACUCCCAGGGCUACCACUCUGCCAGGGAGGUCAGGAAUUUUAACUCACCUGCCUUUGGGCUUACGCCAAUGGUCCCCCGCACACCGCACUUCCUCCGGUAGUGCGCACUUUAUACUUGCCGGUCUUCCGGCCUGAGUCAUACUACUCGGCUUCGCGGUCGGAACGAGUUAUCCGGCCAACUAAGUGUUAGGCAUGCGUUCAACAUGACAAGAGGACGUACAACGAUCGGUCCUUAGCUGCCACAGACGGAGUUACUACAAACUUGCAAAACUCCGCCCGGCUUAAGUCAAUUUAAUCAGGUUCCAUCCACGAUAGCACAUAUAGACCAUCGUGAUCAGACAUAGCCCUAUAUCGCGCAGGUGACAGGAUAUCACCCGACUUCUACCGAUUAAAGCAUGGCUAAGCUGCUACUCGAUCCUAUCUCUACAACCAGGGUAUGGUGAAUUAUCUGGACAAGGAUAGAGUAAAAUGCAGCAAGGGUUUCAUCACAACUCCUAUACGUAAUGCAUCAAUAGAUAUAACAUAUUAAUUAAACUUUUGAAAGUAAAGGGAGACUUAGAAUGCUCCGGGGCUUGCCUUUCACGAACGACGCCGGCUCGUGAUUCGGGCACUCAACUUCUUCUUCUGGCUCCUCAAGUCCGGCUUGCUGGACCUCCACCUCUUGGCUGCCCUCCUGACCUUCGGGAUUCGCCUGCAGCUCGUAGGAGGCUGUCGCGUCCGAUGCACCUAUUGCAUGCUCGAAGAAUAAGAAGAUGCACAUGCUAAAGAUGAAUGCUUAAUAACACAAGCAACUCACUGGACCCUCAUUUACGGAGCAAAAGUUAUACAAGCUCACACAAGUAAACAAGAUAGCUUAGCCCCAAAACCUACCAUGAUACUAAAUCAGCAAGCAACACGAAACAGGAGUAACCUGGUAAAUAAAUCAUAACUAAUGAUAGACAGAUCCAACAAACACAAAUAAAGAAAUUCUGGAAAGCUUAUGAAAUUGUCUACAAAUCAUCUUUAAACAUCACAGCAUGAUUCAUAUAUUAAACCAGUCAUUUAAACAAGGUUCCAGGUUCUGUCCCAGAAAAACAGAGAGCACCUAUUUCUGGAACCCAACUUGGAACAGCCAUAACUCUUAAACUAUUGGAGCCAAAUGACAAGCAUAACAUACAUAUCAAAUCUGCAUUACUCCAAAAAUCAUGAAAUAUUUACCACAGCACUCUAAUAUCAUACAGAGACUACCAUAAAAUUUUCAGAGUAAACUAAGCAGUAUAACCAGAGAUAUGAAUUUAUCCAUGAAUAACAAGAUUAAAUACUUAAUAAAUAUUUUCCCAGAAAACAUGGUUCAUUUUAUAUUUUUAUUUAAAACUAGCCAUCUCAAGGAAUACCACAAAAUUGGUUUCACAAUUUUUGGAUCUCAGAAACAGGAGAUAUGAUUUUUGCAAGAAAGCCAAAAAUCAGGAUUUUGAAUAAAAGAAAAGGAGGGAAAGAGGUGACACUGACAGUGGACCCCAUCUGUCGGGUCCUUCUUCCUCGCGGCCGAGGCGACUUUCGCCGGCGAUUUCUCCGCAACGGCGAGGUCUCCGGCCAAACCAAGGGCACCAACGUGAUCCCCAAACCCUAGCGACUCGAUUGACCCCCUUUUCCCCACGGCGGAGCCACCGGAAGGGGCUCACCGUCGACGAUGGCGGCUCGGCGGAGGUGCUCGGCAUUACGCCGGAGCCCUCAGGCCGGUAGAGCGCAACCUAAGGCUUUCUACAGCACCAGCGGACUACGGCGAAGCUUCCUAGGUACGCGGCUUGGCUUGGAUUCUCGUGGAACACGCUGGCCACGAGAGCACCCAUCUCCGGCGGAAGCACGGCGGCGCUGCGCACCGUGUCCGGCGACGGAGAGCUUGGUAGAGCGUCCACCAAGUGGCGCAAAAGCUUGCUAAGAACCUAAGCUACCUCUAGGACCUAACCAGAGACGACGAGAGGCUUCACAGGGCUCGGCAUUGAGUUCGCCGGAGAAAACGGUCACGGCGACCCGAUUUGGGGGAAGAAGGAAAUGUCGGCUCACCGGUGGGUUUCUCGGCGAGUUAGAGGGUGGAGAUUGGAGAGCGGUUCACGGCAGAGCUUUGGGUGAAGUUUGGUGGGCAAUGGCGCAGCAGGGAACGCGUGCGAGCUCGCCGGAGUAAGCUCGCUGAGGAGAGCUCUCGGCGGCUGCGUUUCUGGCGAGCAGGGCGAGGGAGAGCGAAGUGGACGCGUCCACUCUGCGCGGGCGACGCCGUGGAGGUCAUGCACGUGAUGGAAGCUGACAGGCGGGGCCAGGAACGGCGUACGGGCGCCAAAUGUCGACGGAGCUCUGCCGCCGGUUGGCCACGUCGACGAGCUCGACUUCGAUUCAGAAGAAACGUUGACAGUCUGACAGAGCAACUUCACCGAUGAUUAUCUCCCAAACCAGACCGAUUUAGAAGAUGAUGCAGUUGACAAAGUUGGAGUUCCAAUCGAGUUCUACAACUUUGUCAACUAGAGCAAAGGCCAGAUUGGCGGGAUUGAGAGAUAUAGAGUUUUCAAAAUCGAUCGAGCAAAGUGGUUUCGUUCCAAGACUUAGAAAAUUUUCUAAGUGUUGGAAACAGCCCCAAAUCUGCCUUGUGGUUCACUUUUGAGCUAUUUGUGAUCAUUUUCAUGAGAUGGCCAUAAAACAACUUUUGUUCCUUAUAAAAUUUGCUACAACUUUGCUGUAGGAAGUUUUGACAUGCAAAUAUUUUAUGAAACACUUUUUAAAAGCCUAAGCAAAAGAGGUUUCUAGGGCCUAUUUGCACAAACAUGACUUCAAGGCAUAUUUUGGAGGAGUGAUCAACAUGAACAUUGUUCCCAAGGUUAAGUUAAGCAUAGAUAAACUAAUUACCAAAGCAUUGAGCACAAACACAAGCAUGGUUCACUCAAACAUAAGCAUAGGAAGCCUAUUUAAGCAAUUUAAAACACAUUUUUGCAUAGAAUGACAUGGCUCAAGAGAGAUGAUGAUCAUGAUAUGCUUUGAGUAGAUGAUGAUGCUCAUGCUAUGCACAUGAUUGAUGCAACCAUAACACUGGGGUGUUACAUUGCGCAACAAGGACGCCAAUGGAAGAAUUGUAAAAUGGGCCACGGAGUUGUGCCCUUUCUCGAUGGAUUUCUAGAGUCGCACAACCGUCAAAUCAUAGGCUCUAGCAGAUUUCAUCGUAGAAUGGACCGACCUCAACGCACCCCUAGCAUAGGAUACAACUGAUCAUUGGCAAAUGUUUUUCGAUGGGUCGUUAAAUAUCGAUGGCGCUGGAGCAGGAAUUUUCUUCGUAUCACCUAACACACAAACUUUGUUAUGUCCUUAGGUUCCAUUUCCCUGCGUCCAACAAUGUGGCAAGAAAAUGGAUUUGUAUUGCAAGGAGAUCCGCAAAUUGGAAGCAAAUUUUUAUGGAAUCGAGUACAUACACGUGGUUCGGGAUAAAAAUUAAGCAGUAGAUGCACUGUCAAAGAUCGGAUCAUCCCAGGCUCAGAUCCCACAAGGCGUUUUCAUUCAAGAUCUUGUCAAGCCAAACGUCGGGGGUGACCUGGUUGAGAAGGGAAAAAGCAAGGCACUAUUCGUCCAUACCAUCCAGAACACCCUGCCGACAACCAGCAGCGCUGAUUGGCGUACGCCCUUCAUUAGAUACCUUAAAGACGGUAUUGGUCUCCAAGAUAAGACAGAGAACAAACGCCUUAUCCGGUGAUCUAGAAAUUACUUACUGACCGACGGUCGACUCAUGCGCAAGAACGCCAACACGGAAAUCUUGCUGAAGUGCUUUACCCAGGACAAUGGUGUCAAACUCUUAGAAGACAUACAUGCUGGAUCCUGCACCACCCGACUUCUUGGACGCUGGUCGGAAAGGCUUUCCGAGAAGGUUUUUAUUGGCCAUCCACGGUGGCUAACACCGAGAAGCUAGUUCGACACUGCAAAGGCUGCCAAUUCUUCACCAAAAGGACCCACGUCCCGGCUCACAAAAUCUAGACAAUACCAGCGUCUUGGCCGUUCGCUUGUUGGGGCCUAGACAUGAUCGGGCAGUUCAAGCCUGCUCCCGGUAACUUCAAGUUUGUGUUCGUGCUGGUCGACAAGUUCUCUAUGUGGAUCAAGUACAUGCCAUUGGUAAAGGCAACUUCAGAAAAAAGCUGUCGAAUUCCUCAAUCAGAUCAUACAUCAUUUCAGGAUCCCUAACAGUAUAAUCACGGAUUUGAGGACUCAGUUCACCGGCACUGUAUUCUGAGACUUCUACGAUGACAGAGGCAUAGCUGUAAAGUAUGUGUCGGUAGCCUAUCCCAGAGCCAACGGAUAGGUCGAGCGAGCUAAUGGUAUGAUUUUGGACGCCGUAAAAAAGAGAUUGUACAAAGAAAACGACAAAGCAGCGGGAAGAUGGAUGAAAGAACUGCCAGCCAUGGUCUGGGGUCUCUGAACGCAACCUAGUCGGAACACGGGCGUAUCCCCUUACUUCAUGAUAUAAAGUUCAGAUCUCCAAGGGUCGAGCGUUUCGAUCAAUUUUCAGCAGACAAGACCAGAGAAGUUGAAAUCAAUUGCAUAGAGGAAAAACGGCUAGAUUCCUACAUCUGAACAGCCAAGUACCUUGAUGUCUUAUGACGAUACUAUAAUAGGAACAUCAAGGAGCGCUCUUUUGUGGUCGGUGAUUUGGUACUGAAGUGGAAGACAAGCCAGGAAGGGAUGCACAAACUAUCCACGUCUUGGGAAGGACCCUUCAUGGUCGUGGAAGUUACAUGUCGCACUUCCUACAGACUGGCCUAUCCGGAUGGAACAAGCCUGCCUAACUCUGGGCACAUAGACAAACUAUGACAUUUUUAUCCUUAGACCAGUGCAUCUCACAUUUAUUCUUUCCUUAUGAUUAAUAACAAGUGUUGGUAUUUUGUUCCAUAUUUCUUAUAUGCAAAACAUCCGACAAGUAUGAUCUUUUCUAUUCUCGACACCAAAGUUUAAGUAAGAAAAUCAAGUAGGGCAGCCGACAACUCUCACUCAGUGAUACAUCACUCUAACAAGUCAUUCACAAUGCUCAACCAUGGUUUACAAAUCAUUCACAUCUUCCUUUCACUCUAACAAUUCAUUCACAUCUUCCUUUCACUCUCCAAUAUGCGGGAGCGUUCUUGGUUGAGCUGGUCUUUCUCCUUUCGAACGUGCUCCAACUCUUCCUCUAGACCUACAGUGGCAACAGUUAUCUCAGUCAAAAGGAACAAGAAGAAGCACACAAUGGCUGGCGUCAAUCACUAAUCUUACUUCUCUUUUCUCUGUCCUUGUCGGCUAGUCGCCGAGACAAAUCGACCAUCUGCUCUUCUCGAGUAGCUCUAUCCAUAGCGACCUUCUCGGCCUCCAGCCAAAGUCGGUCCACCUCACCGGUCAGAGCCUUGUUCUCGGCCACGAUUCCUUCAAUCUGGACGAAACAUCUUUUACGAUAUUUCACCAUCUUCAUUACAUCAUGUGGAUUUUCAACACACAUACACAUAUGACAAGGUUAUGACGACACCUUUUAUUUUCAAGUUAGGAAGGCACUUACCUUAACUUCACUAACAAGAUGCUUGGCGGCUUGUUCUACUCUCUCCGCCUCCUCGACCUCCGUGAUCUUCUCGUGGCCGGCCUAGUGAUCCCCACGCUAACGCCAGACAUAAAUAUGUUGGCACCCGUCGUGAGGAUGCCCCUAGAUCUCCUCCACCUCCUCCUCAGAGCCAUCCUAGGCCUCCUCGCCUUGUGUGCUCCUUCCCACCAUGGCUAAAGAAGUCAUCAGCCCCCUCCCCCGGUUAGGAGCAUCGGGCGGUGUCAUCGGCUCGCCGGAUGGCUCCUCCACAUGAGCAGGGGAGGCAGCUUUGACCCCCACUUCUGCCACACUGCUCGGUGGGGGAUGACUGCAGGGACCUCCUCCCUGGUUGGGAGGUCACAAGUUGUGCAGGGGCCUGCUCCAUGGUGGCCUAUUCCAACGGCCUCGAGCCCUCAACAGCGCUGGGGUCAACAUACGAGGACGCACUACAAGUUCAUUCAACUAAUCAUAAAUGUUUGAGUUCUAACAUUAUGGAAGAAACAGCUAUCUUUUUUCUACUUAUAGGUUGCAGCUCCUGUGCGACGUCGAAAAGACCUUGCGCCUGGCACGACCAGCCACCGCCAUUGGUUGCGCCUAGUCUGCACGCACCUGCUUGUCGGUGGCCUGUGCAACGGGUGGAUCUUCAGUGGGUUGUGAGUUGGGCACUGGGACCACCUCAGGGUGCCUACGUGAUCUGCGGACCAAGUCUGGGGCCGCCUCCUCUUCCUCCUCCUUGUCAUCAAGGACUCAAAGCAGCCACCGACGCUUCGGUGCUCGGCCACCCGAAGCUGAGCCUUUGCUGGACGAGGGCCCUUGGGCUGACCCUGUCGAUGCUCCUCCUACUCAGGACGGCCCUCCAGUCGCUGGUCUCUUGCCAGUGACUCUGUCAUUGGUGGUCAGUACUGUUUGGCCAUCAUCUUCAUCGCUGCUGGUGUAUCGAUAGCACUGAGCAGCGUUCUCCAUGGGUGGGUCUACCCUCGUCGGGUGCUCCAUGCCGGGCGCCAGUGACACGUACACUGAUGCUCGGUCAAUGUCUCCGAUCUGUGACACGGUGAUUGGUUACCGAUAUGAAUCGCUACGAGGGUGGCCCGAUCUUCAUGACAGUAGAUCAAAAGAACAAGAAUAACUUGCUACGAACAACGGGUAACUAGCUUUAUACCUGACAAAUGUUGGAUACGACCAAGCGACGGGGAGAGAGGCACCGAAACCACGAAGACUUCGACUCUAUCUCCAAACGACGGUAGAACCUACAGUCCGGAACUAAUCCACACAAUACGGCAUAGCCGAACAGAAGUCGUAGAGCACGAAGUAGGGGAAACCAGAGGAUUCACUUCACAAGUCCAUGAAGAACAAGAAAGAACAAAGGUUGAGUAAGGCACUCAGCAGCGCGGCUGCAAUAUCAUGUAGUUUAUCAAAUAAUCAAAGGUUGCUAAUAGUUUAGAGGUAGAGAAUAUUUAUACUAGGAACAACCCUCCUAGAUAGGUAUAAAAACGAAAUAGAGUUUCUGAGAGAAUACAAUGUGAAAGGUCCCCUCGGAAUGGAUUCCCGAACUGGCUUCAUGUGACUGUUGGCCUCCAGAGCAAUUUCCAAUAAACUGACCAUAACUUUUUAUUGAGAAGUCCAAAUGACAAACCGUUUCUUGGGUGCGAAACUAGACUCCAAGGGCCUUCUAGCAAUGUAUGCCAUCCAGCAUGAAACAAUGUAGAUUGGUACAGGUUUACUUGAAAAGUUGUACCAACAUUCUGUCACGAUAGACUGUUGACCUUCUGAGAAGUCUGUACUAAUUCUGGUUUGUAGGCAAUAUGGAGUAUCUAAACUGGUCGCCACUAGAUUCAUUAGAAAGUAGACUCGACAAGCUUUCCAACAAGUCCUCAUGGGCCUUCAUAGAUUUUGUGAGUAAAAAGGUAUGAAGAUUUCUUUGCAUUGGUUUGUUCUUGACUUCCACUGGUCCGUUUUUGACUCUCUGGUCCAUUUUGUAGUGUCUUCUGGGACUUGCACUGGUCCGUUCUUCAGGGUCUGAUUCAUCCUUCUUUUCUUCUAUAUACCUGAGUACAAUCAAGGUAGAACACUUAGGUAAUAUAUAAUUCUCAUUAAUGUUAAAAUGAAUCUCACAAAGUAGCGUGUGGACCUCUUGUUGUAGCUUCUUUCCAUGACUACGUGUAAUCGGUCCAUCGAUAACUUGGGCUAGUGUCGGUGUAGGUAAAACUUGAGUGGUUGUAGCUUGACUUGGAGCUUUGUGAUAUCUUGCUUGCUGGCAUGGUUAUAUCAGACUGUGGUAACAGUUAUCAGAGGUUAAGGACGACAACGAAUAAAAUUGCAAGAUUGUGCAAACUUAUUCCUUACCUUCGAAGCUGGUUGAGCCAACUUGUACGCGUGCAUCUGGUUGUCGCUGCGCACAAAGUUGCUGUCUGCGAGAUUGAAGAGCUCGCUGAUUCUACAGUGAAUCUCCGUCUUAUCCAGCUUAUCCUUGUGCAUCCUGGUCGUGGCCUGGCUUCCCUGGUACACAUAUCCCGGGUGGACCCUCCUCUGGCAUGGCUGCACUUGCCGGCUAAGAAAAUUGCCGACUACGCCAGGUCCAUCCAGACGCGACCACUCGAUCAGGUUCAUCAGUUCCUCGAUCUGCCCGGUGUACUCUAGUCGGUCCAUCCAGCUGACUCUCUUCUCUAGUACACAGCUAACAUUGCAGAAAGUCGCGAUGUUCGGCUCUUCCUGGAUGUAAAACCAUUUCUUGUACCAUUUAGAUAGGGAAGUGUUCCAAGGGCAGUUGAGAUAGUGAUUCUUCAUUCCAUCAUGAAGAUUGAGGUAUAGUCCACCAAUAAUCUUGGAGCCUCCAACUGCUCCCUUCUUUCUCAUGCAAAACAAAUAAUGAAAUAAGUCGAAAUGCGGCUCGAUCCCCGCAAAAGCUUCACAAAGAUGGAUAAAAGUGGCAACCAAGAGAAUCGAGUUUGGGUGCAGAUUGCAAAUCCCAAUCUCAUAGUAGAGAAGCAAGCCCUAAAGAAACAGAUGAACCGGAACCCCAAAACCCCUCUUAAAGAAGCCUUCGAAAACAACAAUCUUACCAGCUCUUGGGUCCGGGAUGCUUUCUCUUGAUGGUGCCCUCCAGCCACCGAGUUCUUGGUUGUGCAGCAGCCCCAUCUCGAUGAGCUCGUUGAUGGAUUUCGUGGUGGACCUAGAUUUCUUCCAAUCCUUUGACAUCAUCUCAGUCCUCUUUUUUUAAUCACUCUUGGCCAUUUCGCCCCGGUCAACGAGAACUAAAUCUAACUGGUUGGUAGGAGGCAAGGAAGAUGAAGGUGAAAGGCUAGAGUAUGCAACUGUUGGGUGAAGAUCCAGUAUUAUGCUACUUAGGCUAUUUAUCAAAGGGCAACCAUCUCUUCCACUUCCCAAAUUCUAUGGAAGUGUGCGGUUUCUGCGGCAAAAAUGCCGUUUUAGUUCCCAAUUUUUGUUGUAGUAAAUCCGCCGCAUUUUUUAAAUAGUUGUUGGAACUACUUUUGUUUCGGUUCGAAUGAUGGGCGACUGUGUUGUCAGUGGCACUCCUUUUCACACUAUGGACUGACGUUUUGACAGCUUUGACAAGAUGGGCGGACGCUCUAUCACGUCGUGAAUUAAUUAGCAGAAGGAUAUGAAGACUCAAAACUCAAGUGAAGCAUUUACUAAGAUUGCGAUCUCGUUUGGACUCAUGCGGUGUCUAGGGAUUGUACCGACCACCGAGCACGUUCGUGAUGGCAAACUAUGCUCGGGAACUGGUCGACCCGAUGAAAUAGGGGAUUGUACCGACCACCGAGCACGUUCGUGAUUGCAAACUAUGCUUGGGGACUAGACGACCAGAUGAAAUAGGGGACUGUACCGACCCCCGAGCACGUUCGUGACGGCAAACUACGCACAGGGACUGGUCGACUAGAUGAAAUGGGGACUGUACCGACCACCGAGCACGUUUGCGAUUGCAAACUAUACUCGGGGACUGGUCGACCAAUCUGUUUGAUGACACUGGGGACUACAUCGACCAGCGAGUGUGUUCGUGGUUAUCAAUUAUGCUUAGGUAACUGGUCGAGUAGUCUAUAUGCCACGAUUCAAGAUUAUGCAGAUCACCGAACACGUUCAUGGUUUCUACCAAUGCUCAGGGCCUACUCUUUUCAGUUACAUAUGAAUCGGGCUUAUAUACAACUGAGCAGUAAUUUUAAUUUUUUAGACCUUGCUACAAGGCUCAUGCUUCGCCUUCCAGCAAGCUCGGGGAAUACAUCGGUACGAUGCAUCUGGCAAUGCAUCUUAGCAUCAACAUUUUUUACAUGGAUUUUUCUUUAGACCCUGGCACCACGUGCCUACGUCACCUACUACCAGGCUCGGGGACUAAGUGGGCACACUUCACCUUGCGGUGAAUAUGCUUGUCUAUUGAAGAGCUAUACUUUUCAGAAAAGUAAAGUAGGCACACUUCACCAAGAAAGAAAUAUUUUUUGAUUAAGAGCACCAUGCAUACUUUAAACAACCUGCUUCUUCAAUGUCGAUGUUGAUCAAUUGUCUUUUGAGUUGGUUAAAAUACCGUUACAACUGUUCGGGCGAUGUUAAGCUUUACUGGUCAAAGAAGUUCAAGACGGUGUGUUACAUCACAAUACAUGGUGCUCAGGGACUAGCUGUGGGCUUAUAAACCUCUAUACCCUUACGGCUAGACUUGGGCCAGGAGAUUUGGCCCAUUACAAGACAGUUCGAGGCCUGAUCCAACUGCUUGGAGUUUCACGCAAGGAAACAAGACGUGGAGAUCAAGCAGGAUUCUAGUCGGUUAGAAUAGGAAUUGAUAUCGUGUUAUCUAUGGCAAUUGUAACCGACUAGGAUUAGUUUCUAGAUUUGUAACCCUGCCCUCUGGACUAUAUAAAGAGAGGCAAGGCACCCCCCUUAGGACAACACAAUUCAACACAUCUCGUAUCAAUACAAUCAGACGUAGGACGUAGGUAUUACGCCCUCACGGCGGCCGAACCUAGAUAAAAUCCUUGUCUGUGUCUUGCAUCACCAUCGAGUUUGUAGCUUGUGCACCUAUCUACCGAUAAACUACUACCGUGGGUAUACCCCAAGGUAGACUACCGACUAGCUUUCAUCGACAUGCCGCCAUUAGCGGGGGCAUGGUCCUUAGGGUUCGGUAGAGUUAGGGUUUCUGGUGUCAAUCGACGCGGGAGAGAGCGAGGAACACGAUGGUGCCCUCAGCUGCCGUGGAGACCUUGUCGUCGUCGAGGUUUUCCGAGGGUCAAGCAUGGCCUCUGUCCUCGGGGUCGCUAACGAGUGGGUCCUGUUGACCUGUGGGGUCCCUCUGUUAGUCUCUCCCUCUCUCCUGUUCUUGUUUUGUUUUGUGCUGAACUCGAGUUUGGCAGAUCCAAAUGACGUGAUUCAAACUUUGUCAUGCUCCUGUGGUAGUCUAAUUUUUAUUAAAAAUAUAAUAUGUGCCAUGUUUUCUGUGAAAAAUAAUUGUUAUGAACUAAUCAUGAUUAAUCAAAGGAAAAUCAUAUCUUUCUGUGUAAUGCUCCGAAUGUGAUGAAAAUUUUAUGGCAUACUUUGCAUGGUAGUAUAAGCUCUGGUAAUUAUUUCAUGGUUUUUGGAUGCUGUAUGACCGGUAUGUAAUUUAUACUUGAUUAAUUUCUUAAAUCCUUGUAUAAAUUAUUAUAAAUAAUGCAUGCUUGUGUUGGUGCUCUCCUUUAGCUUGAUUUGUGUUGAUGGUAGUAGAAUCAUAAAGAUAAUCUAAAAUCUGUUGUUUGACACUGUUUGACAUAAGUUUUCUAAUUUAUGGUAAUAAGGACCUUGUCACAUGAUAAUAAGAUAUCUAAAGUUUGGUAAGUACAAUUGCUCUAAACAUUUUAUGGUGAUGUUUAUGUGCCAUGCUUGUGCUUCUGUAAUUUUUAUAGAUUUUUCUGAGUACUUAUGCUCAUAUCUCUUAAUUAUGCUCUUUUAUAGAAUUAAAGUAAUAAAUACUAUAUAAAUAAUGUUUUGGUAAGUAACAUAUAGUUUUCUGGUAAUCUUACAUCAUAUGUAUUCUGGUGAGUCACUUGGUUGACACUAAAUAUGCUUUUGCCAUGUUAGUAAAUAAUUAAUUUAAGGCAUUUAACCAUUCUGAACAGCAAAGGAUAAAUCUGGUAAUUGCUUAAUGUAAAUAUGUUUUCUGGAGGACUUGUCUAUACAAAAGUUGUUGUAAACUUUAUGCUCUAGCUGGGAUUAUUUUGGUGGCCUUUGGCCCAGUGGUUUAAAAGUUAUGCUUGCUCCAAGUUGGGUUCCAGCUUAGGGUUGCUCUCUGUUUGUCUGGGUCAAAACCUGGAACUUUGUUUAUUUGACCUAUUUCACUUAUGAAUCAUGCUUAAGUAUCUAAAGAUGAAAUGUAGAUAAUUUUGUAAGCUUUCAAGAAUAUCUUAAAUCAUGCUUGUUGGAUCUGUACAUCUCCAGAUAUGAUCUGUUCUCUAUGCUACCAUGUUGAGUAAGAAGUGCGGUUGGUUUGUCUAGUUAGUUUGCAUCUUUGUUAAGUCUUGUGGUGCUCUUGUGUAAGCUUGUUGAAGAGUUUACUCUGUAAAUGAGUGUCCAGUGAGGUGCUAUGGUAUAAAUCCAUGAUGCAUCCACCAUUUCCUUGUAUGCAUACAUCUUUUACUCACUGCACGUACAUGCAAUAGGUGCAUCGGAAGUCGGAGUCACAUACGAGAUCGAGAGGGUGAAUCCGGAAGAACACCCAGGAGCCGGAGGUCCAGCCAGCAGGACCAAAGGAGCCCAAAUAAGAAGUCGAGUGUCCGAGUCAUGAGCCCACGUCGUUCGUGAAAGGCAAACCCCGGAGCAUUAUAAGUCUCCUAUUUAUUUUACCAAGCAUGAGUGAAUAUGUUAAUACCUAUUGCUGCAUUAUGUGUAGGAGUUGUAUCAAACCCUUGCUACAUUAUACCUUGCAUUGUCUAGAUAUCUUACCUUACCCUGGUAUAGAGUCAGGAUCGAGUAAUAGCUUAGCCAUCCUUAAACCGGUAGAAGUCGGGUGAUGUCCUGUCACCUGUGAGCUUUAGGGUCUGAUGAUGGAUCACAGUUGGCUAUAUUUGCUAUCAUGGAAAAGAACCUGGCUAAAAUAACUUAAGCCGAGCGGAGUUUUGCAAGGUGGUAGGAACUCCAUCUGUGGCAGCUAAUGACCGAUCGUUGUAUGUCCUCUUUUCAUGUCAAACACAUGUCGGACACUUAGUUGGCCGGAUAACUCGUUCCGACCGCAAAGUCUAGUAGUAUGACUCAGGCCAGAAGACUGGCAAGUAUAAAGUGCGCACUAUUGGAGAAAGUGCGGUGUGCGGGGGGCCAUUGGCGUAAGACGAAGGCCAGGUGAUUUAAAAGUCCUGAUCGUCCUGGCUAAGUGGCAGCCCUCGGAGUGCGGCACUGAUCGGAGCUACGAUUCCUGAGUCGUACCAAAGGUGACUUAUUUGCUCUCCGAUGGAGGAAGCAUGGGUGAGUGCUAGGAAUAUGAUGAAAGUCCAUGCCUGAUCUUCCGAGAGGUAAUUGGUAAAUUCAAUUUGUGGGGAACUCGACGUUGGCGAUCCGGCUUCAAAUCAGCACGACUCGAACCCUGCGACCGUUACACCACUGCUCUGUUGGUUAUCAACCAAGCACAACAUGAGUAACCUCGCCAAGAAGGCUUUUCCUACAAGCGAAUCGAAGAACACAAGCAAUAAAGUAUAAACACGCAACCUAAAAUUGCAAACAUGAAUGAUGUGAAUAUUCAAAUGAGGGUUCCAAAGGACUAAUCGAAACAGUGGAGGAGAUCAAGAACGGGGGCCUAGAUCACAUAAAAGAAUUUGUCACCACAAUUAUAAUGAACGAUUCAGUUUCUCGAUGGAAAACUAAACUCUAAACAAAACCCGAUUCUAAACAGCAGCGGCUGUGUGGAAUAUAAAGUAGAAGCGACCUAAGGUUGGAGGCGACUAGGGGGAGGUGCCCACAACAUGGGCUUAAGGCCCGAAUUCGAUACAUGACCAAGUUGGCCCAAAAUAGGUGAUACAGCACCUUGUCAUGGACACAAAGAUUAAUCAAUGAAAGAUCUGGAGCUAGGACCAGAUCCAAAACGAUGGUGUCAUUGUCCCCUUUCCAAUGAGUCCAAGAUCACCCCGUUUCGAUGUCAUAAGAAGAAGUUAUGAUCAAAACUCUGACGACGUGUUUGCUGAAUCCGAGAGUGACGUGGUAGCUGAGUUGGAGAUGAAUUGUAACUUGGAAAAGAUGAUGUUGUCAACGUAUCCAGUGUGACGUGUCCUCAUCAUCCUCCCCUUCUUGAAUUGGAGUCGUCCUCGACUCCAUCUUUGUUGUGUCCUCAUCAUCCCCUCCUUCUACAAAUGGAGUCAUCCUCGACUCUUCCCCAUCAACAAACUCCUGCAAAAGGUUAGUCACAGCAGGCAAGGCACAAGACAUAAUAGGUUGACAAAGCAUAGUAUAACAUGGUACAUCUGGAUUAUCACAUAACGCAGCAGAGGUACAAGAUGUAGCAAGUAAAGCACCUCCAUGUAACUUAUUUUCAUUAUUUUUAUCAAUGUCUAUGGAAGGUUUAUUGUUAAUCUCUUUAGCAUGUUUAACAAUAUCCAUUGGUGACAAAGGCAGUAAAGUAAUGUUCUUGUUCUUAUGUAUGAAAGUGUAUGUAUUAGUUCUACCAUGGUGUAAAGCAUCAUUAUCAAAUUCCCAUGGACAUCCUAACAAAAUUGAACAAGCUUGCAUAAGCGCAACAUCAAAAUCAGUAGUAUCAUGAUAACAACUUGUGAUGGCAAAUGAUUUUAGCACUGGGUGAGAAGGAACUAGUGGAAGCACCCAGAGUGGCACCUUUCUUCAGCUGUGGAGGCUGCACAUUAGACAAUUUACUUACCUCAGAAGAAAAUGCAGGUGUAGAUGGUUGUGGUGCAAUAGAAAUCUUGAGCGUCUCUGGCUCGGAACGCUGCUGAAAAUUCCUCCCAUUAUUAGACCUGAAAGACUGGUGUUGCUUGCGUCCCUGUACUUCAUGUUCUGCCUUUAUACCAAGAUGAUACAAUUGAGAAAAAUUACACCAUUCUUUAUAAUCAAGAAUGUUCUAGAUAUCAUGAUUUAAACCACCAAAGAAUCUAGCACUAGCAUCAGCAUCAUCUUCAUGUACACCACAACGUGCUAAACCAAUAAGCAAUUCUUGAUAGUAUGCUUCUACACUUUUAUCUUCUUAUUAUAAAGUUUGCAGUUUAAGACAUAAAUCACAUUGAUAAUAAGAAGGAACAAAAUGAGAUUUCAUACAUUGUAUUAAAGCAUUCCAAGUUUGAGGCACAACAACAACAUUAUUAGUAUUGCGAAGAUCACUCCACCAAAAUAAAGCAAAUGGUAAACUCACUAGUAGCGGUCUAACUCUAUGCUCAGCAGGCACAUUAUGAGAAUCAAAAUUUUAUUGAACAGCAAGCUCCCAAUCUAAAUAUGCCUCAGAAUCAAUAUUACCAGCAAAAGGAGGUAGGCUAAAUUUAAUUUUAGCAAAAGGAUCAUUAUUACCAUAGUUAUUACCUCCCGUACCGCGACGAUUGAAGUUAUAACGGCGACGGUUGUGUGCAUCACAGUCAUCGUCCACAUCUUCAUGAUCAGAUAGAUCUCCAUCUACAUCUUCAUCAUCACCAUGAUGAGAUUGAGGGCGUUGCUUAAUCUGUUCAAUGCGAGUGACCAGAUUGUUUACAUUACGUGUCAGCUCGUUCAUAAGAUUGCGCUGUUUAGUAAUGAACGCUGCAAGUUCACCUUUGGACACACAAUCAUUGAAAUUCGUCGGAGAUCCUGCCAUGGUUAGAAAAUAGGGAAAAACAACAGCAAAGGAUUAUCCCUAUCAACUAAAAGGAACCAAGUUGUGGUGGUAGUGGUAAAAGUGGAAUACAAAAUCAAAAGCGGCUUACCACCGUCUUACAAGUGUUCUUACCAAAGCCUAACAGGAGCAAAACCAAAUUGGCAAAGUAAUCUGCUGUUGAGCGUGGAUAAACAGUUGCAAGAUGAACUUGUGCUGACAGAAGUAUAUGUGGAGCUUUGGACAGGCACAAUUUAAGUAGCAAGGAUUAGCAAUAUUCGAAUGCAGAGUUAGCUAAGUUCAAUAAGUAUCCAAAGGACAAAUCACAAUUGCUGGCUAAGACGUGUCUAGACAUAGUGCAACAAGGUGAAACAAAGUAUGAUGGAAGGAACUCAGCGAACAAGCAAUAGAGCAGAUUUUUCCUUUAUCAUGAUUUUUCCUAGAUUUUCCCAAAAGGUACUAGUAGGAAUCAAGAUUUUUUACUUUUUCACUAUUUUUUUAUAUUUUUCUCUGAACAAGGAUCACAAAAGAUAUAACUACAAAAAUUGGCAACUACAACUGAGGUCAGAUGUGGUCUACAGAAAUUUAGCAAGUCCUCUGAAAAGCAUGCAAAACCCUUGUCAAUUUUUUUCUUUAUUUUCCUGAAUUUUUUGGCAAUUUUGAUGAGACCGAACAGGGCUUCGCUGAGUUUGCGUCGGGUCCAAAUGGUGUCAAGAAACUGCUGUAAAAAUUUUAGAUUUUUCUGAUAAACGAGCGAAAAGUUAUGCCUGCUUUACCGAAUGUAUCUCAAGUUAUGUUUUUUCGAAGGCACAACACGGCAGCGGCGGUGGCAGUUAGGGCAAAGCAUCCCUAAACUCCAACACCAAUCAUAGGAUGAAUUGUCCCUAUGACUAACAGCAAUAGGUAUUCGCCUGAUGAUGUAAGGAGGGCUGCGAUGCAGGCAAAAUAACAGCGGCUAGCAACCUAUCUCGGGUUAGCGCGGCGGCGAGAGAUCACACAAGGCGGCUAGCGGAGGCAAGUCAAGUAAUGUGGUGGCUUUGACUUGUUGUUUGGAAACAGUGGAUGGGAUAGCGGCAGAAACUAAGAACAGCAACGGUGCAAAUGAACUACGAUGACAAGCAUAAUCAAAACAAGCAACUAGACUCAACCACGAACACAAACUCAACAAAGCAAAUCUAAAAACAAAUUAGAAGGCACAAUGGGUGAUAGGACAGCGGAAAAUUAAACUAUUUUUUGGGCUUUUUGUGGACUGUAGGGAAUGAACAAAUAUGAAUCUAGGGCAAACGAGAUUAUACCUCAUGGUAAACCUGAGAUAUCUGAUACCAAUUGAUGAAAGUUCAGGCCUGAUCUUCCGAGAGGUAAUUGGUAAAUUCGAUUUGUUGAGAACUCAACAUUCGCGAUCCGGCUUCAAAUCAGCACGAUUCGAACCCUGCAACCGAUACACCACUGCAAGCGAAUCGAAGAACACAAGCAAGAAAGUAUAAACAUGCAAUCUGAAAUUGCAGAUAUGAAUGACAUGAAUGUUCAAAGGAGGGUUCAAGAACUCGGAUCCAAAGGACUAAUCGACACAGUGGAGGAGAUCAAGAAUGGGGCCCUGGAUCACUGUAAAAAGAUUUGUCACCCCAAUUACAAUGACCGAUUCCAUUUCUCGAUGGAAAACUAAACUCUAAACAAAACCUGAGUCUCAACAGCGGCGGCUGCGUGGAAUAUAAAGGAGAAGCGACCUAGGGUUGGAGGCGACCAGGGGGAGGCGCCCACAACAUGGACUUAAGGCCCGAAUUCGAUACAUGUCCAAGUUGGCCCAAAAUAGGUGACGCAACAUCUUGUCGUGAACAUAAAGAUUAAUCCACGAAAGAUCUGGAGCUGAGACCAGAUUCAAAACAACGGCGUUGUUGUCCCCUUUCCAACGAGUCCAAUAUCACCCUGUUUCAAUGUCGUAUCAAGAAGUUAUGAUCAAAACACUGAUGAUGUGUUUGCUGAAUCCGAGAGUGACAUGGUAGUUCAGUUUGAGAUGAAUUGCAACUUAGAAAAGACGAUGUUGUCAACGUAUCCAGCGUGACGAUGUCCUCAUCAGAAUAACCCUUCAACUAGAUAGGAAUUGAUUCGAAUCGCCAUCUCUCCCGGAUAGUGAGAACUUGACACAGCAGCGGCAAACAUAGCGUCCAUUAAAUACUUAAUGGUUCUAAGAUGAUUAUGAUGAUGGCAAUAAUGAACAAUUGACAAAACCGGAUAUGGUUAUUAUUGUUUGAUGUUAAUCAAGUGAGUGCCUUAGUACAGGUGCUAAUCUAGUGGUAGGUUAAUGAUAAUUAACUUGAGGCUAAUAAGAAAGGUUUAGUUAUCCAACUUAAGCUUUUGAUGCAAAAUGUGUCAAGCCAGCUUCACUAUUUACAGUAGCCUUCUAUGAUCCUUCAUGUCUUUGUUGUGGUUCAAUGGAUAAGUCUAGCUGAGUACAACCUUGUACUCAGGGUUUAUUCUCACUUAUUGCAGAUGAUAUCUUCUAUGAUGGUUUCUGCAAGAGCUGUCUUCACCCUGCUGAGGAUGAUGACUAACCAUUGGGUGUGGUUCUCUAAGUCUUCAUACCUUACUUUCUUUUGGUGGAUAUGAUGAGACCCUGGUUGUAACAAUAAACUUGUGAUGUUGGUGUGAAAACUAUGUAGCUUCCGCUACUUGAACUUGGUUUGUGAUAACUUAAGUAAACUCCGAUGUGUGUCGCUUCAUCGACCUUAUAUGAAAUGUUGUAACAAUCGAUGUAUUGUGUAGAACUUAUUACGAUCUUGACAUGUUGUUCAAUUGGUUUGAAAACCUUUGAGAUUUCGUUUGACUACCAGGAUUAUAUGGGCUCAAGUUUGGAAACUUGAUUGCUCCGGCAAUCGUUUCUACACUUGAACUCUUAUAAUUUGGUCGGUUCUGUGACGGCUGACAUCAGAGUAAAUUCAGCACUAAAUACUUUGUUUGUGUAUUUAAAAUAAAAGAAUUUCAAAAAUAAAUUGUGGAAUAAAGUGUGCCAGAGGUCGAUUCCUCCUUGCCCAUAUAAGGACUUUAGGUGGCUAUUUAAGACUGACAUGGGGGGUUUUAUUUAUGCAUCUACAAUAGUGCUCAGGUAUGGAUGUGUGAUGACCGCACUAUGCUACCUUGUGGUCAAAUGGUAGAGGUAGCCUUCAUAUAUAAAUUAGCCAUAUAUGUCGCUAGAUUUAAAUUAUGCAACGUCGCACCUACGCUCGGGUAAGUGUGAGUUGUGAGAGCAUGAACGUCCAAAUGGUGGUCUACGAGAGUGUUCACGGUGGUUUCUAGAGUGGUUGCAUGUUUUAACCAUGGAACUAUGAAAGAAACUUAAUUAGAGAGCAAUUAAUUUCUAGGUAGAUGUGGUGUCAUUGCUUGCACAUGCUGGGGUAUGCGUAAUCAGUGUGCACUUAGUUUACUGCUUUCUUGAGUGAUAUAUUGGGAACUAUUUGGGCCGCAAUGACGUUUUGUGCAGGUACACUAACAGCGCACGUGUAAAUCGUUAGUAACGUAUUGAGAGGCGAAUGUAUGCCACUACAUAUCCGUUAGAAUGGUAAUUUUCUAAGUUGUGAGGACGUAUGGAACAUGUAUGCAUCAUUUCGCACUCAUACAUACAUUCUAUCUACUCUCAAGCAUCUCUUUUAAAUUAAUAAGCAUCUCUUAAAUAAUCUCCUCUCACCCAUAAUUGUUCCAUUCACAGAUGGAUGUGCCUGCUUCACCUCUCCCGAGUGACACCUUUCUGAGCGAGUUUGGUACUCCUACCCUGUUGUGGAGAGUGCUGCAGUCAGUGGGGUAUAUGGAGCCACCUCAGUACUCUUGGUGGGAGAUGGAUAUGCAGGGAGGCUUGUGUUGGUUCGCUGUGCGUGGAGUAGUCCCUCGACACGAUGACAAGCCUGCAUGGUCAGGCUGGAACUGCAAUGCAGAUGGGUAGAAUCCUUGGGAGGCAGCUCAGGUUGCUGCCAAGCCAUUCUGCUCCAUAUCUAUGAGAGGUUUGGUGAUGAGUGUUGACGGUCCUUAAGUAUCAAGUUUAAUCAUCAAAUAAACAAAUAAAAGAAUCCAAAUGCAACCAACACCCAGACUUAGGGUUUUAUCUGACAGAAUUCCACGAGUUUUGGUGUUUGUCUAUUUCUGCAGGGGGUUAUCAGGAAAUAUGGAGGAAAGGCCCACACGUCGGGUUUACAUAGAGAUAUUAACGUGCCGUGCAAUUUUCUAUCAUCUAGAAGACUCCAGAAGCCAUGGGAACGAACGGGAGGCCGAGCGGGCUCGGGGACAGGGCGCCCGCCCUCCCCCCUUGGGUGCCCGCCCUGCUACAGGAACCAAUCAGGCUCCGCCUCGUGGAUCAUGCUCCACCGACCUAAAGCAUUAAGGAAAACUAUGCGAUUAAUGUCGGUUUGAUCCGACGGUCCAUAUUCAUUUGGAGGGACUAUAUAAGCAGACCCCCUGGCCCCUAGAGGAGACAACCCCUUCAUCCCUAUUCAUUAUUCAUAGACAGAGCAAAAGCUAGGGUUUGGAGAUGAGAGCUCUCCUCUCUUCUCUAAACUAGAGUAGAUCUAGAUAGUAGCGAGAUGGAGAGCGAGGGGGGAUUGGAGGAGAGGCCGGCCUAUCGGUUCUUCCUCCAGUUGUACUUCGCCAUGAUCAAGCUCUAAUCAAGCUUGCUCAUGGGAUGACUCUGGUAAUCUACUUCUAUUUCAUUAUGCAGUUACUAUUCAUGUAUGUUCUGGUUCACAACUCUUUUGAGUACUUUUAAUCUAUAGGACCCUAUAGGUUAGAGUUGUAGUGUAGGUGUAAGCAUGGUGCUUAGACCUAGAUUACUUGUGGAUAUCCCCUGACUAGCCGAAUCGUGUGGUUGGCUGCGUAGGUGACAGUUACGUUGGUCCCCUAUAGUCCACCUCCCAUUAGCAGGACUGGUAUGGUUUAUCGGCCUAUGGAUAAGCAUCCUUUGUGGUGUAUUCUUAUCACGUGGUUCGUCCCAGACAUAGACAUACCCCUUUGAAGUAGAGAAACCAUAGUUAUCCUCUCUAUUCUCCUACUAUCACCCAUAUACUAGAUUGCUCUACUCUCUAUUUCCAUAUUAUCACCCAUUGUUAUCUUACCUUUAAUAUUGUUCUUAUUCAAUUCUACCAUUUUUCCUAUUUAUACCUAUCUAUCUAUCUAGGUUCAGUUAGAGCGUAGAUCAGUUCUCCCGUUUCCCUGUGGAUACGAUAAAACCUUUAACCGGGUAAAUGCUACAACGGUAUCCGUGCGCUUGCAGAUUUAUCUGUGUGUGUAUAAAUACCAUAGUACACUCUAGUGCCAUGCUGGGGAUGACAACCUAGUAUUCAAGUGGUGUUAGCAAGUGUCAACAAGCUUUUUGGCGCCAUUGCCGGGGAGACUUUUGCUGAGUUGACUACGAACUAGCUUAAUCAUUUUCUACAAAAAUAAAAAAAUAUACUUUUCCUUUUAUCUUUUGCCUUAUCUCUGCUAUUCUUUCUUCUUAUCUAAUCCUUGAUCUCUAGUCUAUCAUGAAUUCAAACAUGUCUAUCUAUGAAUUUCAUAGACCUACGGGAACACAUCUCGAACCACCAAAAUCUUCAAAGCCUAUCAUGGCAUCUAGUUUUGAGAUAGACCCCGAAUACAUAGAAUUUGUUCAAAACCAACCUUUCUCAGGAGAAGGUGAAGAAAACCCAUACACACACCUAAGAGAGUUUUAUCAAGUCUGUGACCUCCUUCGCAUAGAAGGCAUGUCCAAUGAGACCCAUAAAUGGAAGCUCUUUCCAUUCUAAGCUAGACAUUGGUAUAAACUCAAAGUAGGGAGUGUUCAUGGAGAUUGGAAAGAGUUAUAUAAUAGUUUUCUUUUUAAAUAUUUUCCAAUCUCCAAAGUGGCGGAACUUUCGCAUGAGAUUAUUUCUUUUAGACAAUUGGAAGAAGAAUCUCUUGGCAAAUCAUGGGACCGCUUUGUUAACCUUACUCUCACUGGCCCAAAGCUUUCUAUUCCAGAAGAAGUUCUUCUAAUUCACUUUUUUGAGGGCCUUAGUAGGGAAAAUAAACAAACCUUGAAUACAGCCUCUAGAGGAUCCUUCUAUCACCUACCUGCUAGUGAAGCUAGCGAUUUAAUUGAUUCAUUAAGUGAAAAGUUUCCUAGCAUAUAUAUCCCUGAGAAAGAGAAAGAACCAGUUCCUAGACAAGAAGAAGAAGUUUCGAUAGCGAGAUCACAACCACUUCAAUCCCAAACUUUAGCUAUUGAUCCUAAACCAUCAAUAUCCCAAAAUUCUCCAAGGGAGGAAGGAAUUCCGACCUUAAAUCUUUCAGAUGCUGAUGGUUUAGACUUCUGGUUCCAUAAGAGAUCUUCAAGCAGGGAUAAUUCAAAUCCUUGCAAUGAUGGUUAUUUUAGAGAAUGUCCUGGUUCCUCUUAUGAAGAAAUCGAGGACGACAUAUUAAGUGAAGGAGAGCUAAACCAUAUAGAAGAUUCCAUCUGCUCCCCUUCCAUGUUCACAAAUUCUAAAUCCAUCCUUGACCUUAGAGACCCCUCUUAUCCCUCUCCUUUUAAGUCUCAUAAUGAUCCUAACAAUCCAUCAAGACGAUCAAACCAUAGGAGUCAUAAAGACCAUGAGGAUGACAUGUCAAGUAAUGUCAUAGAAGGAGAGCUAAGCCAUAUAGAAAAUUCUAACACCUCCCCUUUCCUGAUCACAAGUUCUAAAUGGCUAGAAUGUGUAGAAUGGAUGGAUAAGGAAGAAGCCUUAAUGGAUUCUAACUUUGGCUCAAUUUCAAAUGGUGAGUUCUUGACUCCCUUUGAAGAUGAGAUUCAUCCAACUACAAAAGAGGACAUAGGUGAGACCAAUCUAGGAGAAACUCCAAACAUUCAGAUUGGAGACGAAGAUAACAUUAAUGAGCAUGGAAUUUAUUUUAUAGCCACCUCAUUUACUCCAUGCUCAUAUGCAACAUCUUCCCAAUCUAUUGGUCUCUCCAACAUCACCACAUUUGAGAUCUCCAACCCCCUCUUCCUUUCUAUUUAUAAAAACUUUAAAAGGGCGGUUGUCGAUGCAUAUGUCUAUAAUAAAUAUUGCAGAUCUCGUUGAGUUGAUCUUGAUAUAGGUCAGCGUUGGAAGGGAAACCACUUCGCCGACAUAAAUUGAUGGUUUCCCAAGAACAAGCUUAGUGUCCUAAAAUAAGCACUGAUCAGAUCGUAACAUGAGCUUUUAAUUAUUUACAACAUUACCUUGUGUAUUGAGCAUAUAAGGAUAAUUGUAAAAAUAUUCCUUCAGGUAUUCUUGUCACUAACCUUCCCAGGAUUGGAGCAAGAAGAUCGGAUGAAUGACAAGCACAAGGUAUGUCCAACCAAUCAUCAUACAACAUUGAAUUAAAUUCAUCCAAACUUGAAUUUUGCAAAAUUCAAGCUUGGGGGAGUACUUUACAUAAAAACUUCCUUUGCCAUGUUGCUAUGUUGGUUGUCCCUAACUUUGAGACAUGCUCAAUUUGUUAAAUACUAAUCACACUACUUCAUCCCCACUUGAGUAGAUCUCUAUAAAUGCCAUCACGCUACCUUUGUUUAUCCUAGUAAGUGUUAGUUUGGAAGUACUGCACAUACUUCUAUUGGCUUUUAAAUUAAGCAUAGUGCUUAGGUUAAAUAGCCUUCCUUAAUCUGAUUAGACAUGGAGUCUAGUUCGGUUAUUGAACUAAAAACUGCUUGUAUAGACAUUGGUAUAUUUUGUCGGCCUAACCCCUGUAGAAAAACUUUCAAUAUCAAUUUGGGAAGUCCUAAGGUAAACUCACAUCGGAGAUGAAGAGAGAGACACAUGAAGUGUAACAAUUUGCACAAGAAGGACAUAGCCCAUUCAUCAUAGAGAGAUGAUCCAUGAAAGGAGACAAAGUACAUAAACAAGAUACACAACCACUACGAAUGGGAAGCUUCCACAAGGUGAGAUGGUACCAUCACUCUUCAAUUAAGGUAACAUCUUAAGAUUAGUGACUAUCACUUUUAUAAGCUUCUCCUUGGUUCUGGCGUUCACAUAAAUAAAGAGACAAACAUGUAUGAUUUUGUUGACACCGUUUUUGGGCACGUGUCCAGGAUGGCAGGAUAGGGUGGCAGUACAAUGCGGGUUGCUGAUGAGGAUGGUUGCCGAUGAGGGAGAGGUUGAAUGUGACUAAGUCCACAGGCAGUAAUAUGGUGCCGAUGGCUGGAUAAAAAGGUCUGCUGAUGACUAUGGCAAGGGGAUUGCCGAUGACGCGAAGGAGGAGUCCGGAAGCUGCCAGUUGUCAUCUGGAGGAGUUUCGGUUUGUUACGAAGGAUAGUUUUAUUAUUUCCUUAGUUAUUUGCAUCGUUUUGUAUACGGAUUCCGUGUAAUUUGGAAUUCGAAUUCUAAUCGUGUCUGGUCGUAGCUCUUUGAGCCGGGUAUAAAUAUAAACCCUAAGACCUUGUAAUCAAGAUAUCAAGAAAUCAAUCAAACGCACGUUUUUACUCAUAUUCCAGCAUCUACUUUUCGACGACUUCGUCAUACUUUUUCCUUUUUAUUACGAGUUCUUAGGAAUUCGUCGACUUAAGCUCGACGUGUUCUCGAGUUCCGCGUGAGUACCUCUUAGCCGUGACAUCCGGGCGCAUCGCUGUUGUCAGGACUAAAGUAUUCGAGUUAUCACCUUUGCCGAUAGCAAGGUCAAAUCGGCUGGCACGCCUUAACGUUUGAAUCGGGUAUUAGCCCUUUGUGUUUGCAGAUCAGUUUUGCAUCAACACAUCUUUUGGCACGCCCGGUGGGACGACAAAGGCCACUUCCUCCAUGGUGCCCUCAAGGAUUAACCAAGACACAGAAAAGGAGAUUGCAACGAGAAAGGCAAGAGGAGCUAAACAAGGGAGAGAACUCUGGAAGUCGGCAGCCGUCAGACACUAAGAGGGAAGGUCCAUCGGCAGGCGUCAACAUGGUCUUCAUGUUGCCGAUGGAGUUUCUUGCACCAGCCAGUGACGAUGACCUGGAAUUUUCUGAUCAGAUAGCUCAGUUGGCUCUGGAUCCGAUGACGGCUAUCUUUGAGAAACCUGCCGAUGACGAGAGGCAGCAUCUUAAAGCUUUGUUCCUCAAAGGAAGGGUUGAUGGGCAGCCAAUGACUAAGAUCCUAGUUGAUGGUGGAGCUGCUAUUAACAUUAUGCCGUAUGCAGUAUAUCGGAAGCUUGGGAAAGGGGAUCAAGAUUUGACCAAGACCGAUAUGAUGCUCAAAGACUUUGAAGGAAACGUGUCUCCAGUCAAGGGGGCGAUAUGCGCAGAGUUGACCAUCGGCAGCAAAACCUUGCCGACAACUUUUUUCGUGAUCAGCGGAAAAGGUGCCUACUAUUUAUUAUUGGGGAGAGAUUGGAUUCAUGCCAAUUGUUGUGUCCCAUCUACAAUGCACCAGUGUUUGGUUCAGUGGGUAGGUGACAAGAUUGAGAUCGUCCCAGGGGAUUCUUCUUAUGUUAUCGCAUCGGCAGAAGCGGAUACUUAUGAAAAGACUAGGUGCAUUUCAGGAGAAGUUUGGGAGAAAGAUUUUCUCAAAGUUGCCGAUUAUGAGAUUCCACCGAUCCAAGCAGUCGGUUCUGACGACGGUUUUUAAUGGAUAGAUUCGCCGAUGAUGGAAAAUUAGGCCAGGGAUUCACAUCGGCCGAUGAUUUGGUAGAAGUAGAUAUAGGUAGUGGUGAUAAGCCUAGGCCUACUUUUAUUAGUGCUAAAUUAGAUCCUGAGUGUAAACGGCAGUUAACUAGUUUGUUAAAGGAAUAUAAAGAUUGCUUUGCUUGGGAUUAUACAGAGAUGCCUGGUUUAGACCGAUCAAUUGUUGAACAUCGGUUACCCAUCAAGUCUGGAUUUCGGCCACAUCAGCAACCAGCCCGCCGAUGUAAUCCUAACAUUCUACCUAAUAUUAAGGCCGAAAUCACUAAACUUAUUGAAGCUAAGUUUAUUCGGCAGUGUCGGUAUGCCGAAUGGAUUUCCAAUGUUGUUCCGGUUUACAAGAAGAACGGGAAGCUUCGGGUGUGCAUUGAUUUCAGGAAUCUCAAUAAAGCUACGCCGAUGGAUGGAUACCCAAUGUCUGUCGCCGAUCUACUGGUUGAUGCUGCGGCUGGCCAUCGGGUCAUCAGCUUCAUGGAUGGUAAUGCGGGUUACAAUCAAAUAUUCAUGGCAGAGGAGGAUAUUCCAAAAACCGCAUUCAGGUGUCCUGGUCAUGUUGGACUAUUUGAAUGGAUAGUCAUGACUUUUGGGUUAAAGAAUGCUGGUGCUACUUAUCAAAGGGCUAUGAAUUUUAUAUUUCAUGAGUUCAUCGGCAAGAUCGUAGAAAUUUAUAUUGAUGAUGUGGUGGUUAAGUCUGGAGGUUUCUCAAAGCAUCUUGCUGAUUUACGAAAAGUGUUGGAGUGCACCAGGAAGCAUGGAUUGAAGAUGAACCCCAACAAGUGUGCAUUUGGCGUAUCGGCAGGGCAGUUUCUUGGUUUUAUGGUACAUCAGAGGGGUAUUGAAAUUAGUCGAAGAUCUAUUGAUGCCAUCAAUAAAAUAGUGGCCCCUACCAAUAAAACCGAGCUCCAAUCCUUGAUCGGCAAGGUGAAUUUUAUCAGAAGAUUUAUAUCGAAUUUAUCUGGGAGAAUUCGUGCUUUCAGUCCUCUUCUUAAAUUGAAAGCCGAUCAGGAGUUUGUUUGGGGAGAAGAACAGCAGUUGGCUCUGGAUGAAAUCAAAAAGUAUCUAGUAAAUCCUCCAGUUUUAGUUCCACCUCAACAAGGGAAACCCUUCAAAUUAUAUUUAUCUACCGAUGGAUCGGUUAUCGGUUCAGCUUUGGUUCAAGAAUUUGAAGGGAAAGAGAGAGUAAUUUAUUAUUUGAGUAGGAGGUUGAUUGAUGCUGAAACCAGGUAUUCGGCCAUUGAGAAACUAUGCUUAUGCUUAUAUUUUUCAUGUAUCAAGCUGAGACAUUACCUGUUGUCGGCUGAAUGUGCUGUUGUUUGCAAAGAUGACGUGGUCCGAUACAUGCUAUCUAUGCCGAUUAUGAGUGGUAGGAUCGGUAAAUGGAUUUUAGCGCUGUCGGAGUUCGAUUUGCGUUACGAAUCGGCUAAGGCGGUCAAAGGGCAGAUCAUGGCCGAUUUUGUGACUCAGCAUUGCGGUCUAGUGGAAACAUUGGAAAUUGCACCCUGGACGCUCUUCUUUGAUGGAUCUACCUGUGACCGGGGGGCAGGAAUCGGCAUUGUAUUGGUUUCUCCUAAGGGGAGGAAGUAUGAGUUUUCCUUGCCGAUUGUUGCUACAUCAACAAAUAAUCAGGCUGAGUAUCAAGCUCUGAUCAAGGGAUUGGAGUUGUUAAGAGAAGUUCGUGCUGAUGCUGUCGAAAUAUUCGGGGAUUCCAUGUUGGUUAUAAAUCAAUUGGCCGGAAGCUAUGAAUGCCGAAGUGAAGUUCUCAUAACCUAUUUCGAGAGAAGUAUGCAACUGUUAAAGGAAUUCAAGAACUUCCGAUUGGAGCAUGUUCCCCGAUUACAUAAUGAAGACGCUAAUCGGUUAGCCCAGCAUGCCUCAGGAUAUCAGCCAAUGAUUAAUGCGACAUCGGCAGUCAGUGCCGAUGAUUGGAGGAAAGAAAUUAUCGACUAUCUAGAAGAUCCAUCCAAAAAGGUUGAAAGACGGGUUCGAUUUCAAGCGACCAAGUAUGUGCUCCUUGAAAAUGAAUUGUAUUAUCGAACUAUCGACGGAAUUCUUCUCCGAUGCUUGGGUGGUGAUGAAGCCAGAAGUUUGAUGGGGGAAAUCCAUGAAGGAGUGUGUGGAGCGCAUCAGUCAGCUUUUAAGAUGAAGUGGAUGAUUCGAAGGAAUGGAUAUUUUUGGCCAACCAUACUUGAAGAUUGUUUUAAAUAUUUCAAGGGAUGUCAAGGUUGUCAAAAGUUCGGUAAUAUCCAGAGAGCACCCGCAUCGGCUAUGAAUCCUAUAAUAAAACCUUGGCCGUUCCGGGGGUGGGCCAUCGAUCUGAUCGGCCAGAUUUAUCCACCAUCUAGCAAAGGGCAUAAGUUCAUUCUAGUUGCCACUGACUAUUUCACUAAGUGGGUCGAAGCUAUUCCUUUGAAGAAAGUCACAUCGGCCAAUAUGAUUGAUUUUGUGAAGGAGCAUAUUAUUUACCGAUUUGGGAUUCCCCAAACGAUUACUACCGAUCAGGGCACCAUGUUCACGUCGGGGGAGUUCGAUGAAUUCGCAAUCGGUAUGGGAAUUAAAGUGUUGAAUUCUUCUCCUUACUAUGCUCAAGCCAACGGGCAGGCCGAAGCGUCUAACAAAGGAAUUAUCAAGCUUAUUAAACGAAAGAUUGAAGAAAAUCCUAGGCGGUGGCAUACAUUGUUAAAUGAAGCACUGUGGUCUUAUCGGAUGGCUUGUCAUGGAUCAACCAAGGUGUCACCUUAUCAAUUGGUGUAUGGACAUGAUGCAGUGUUGCCUUGGGAAAUUAAGGCUGGAUCUAGGCGAUUAUCUUUUCAAGAUCAAUUGGCUGCCGAUGAUUAUGCCACUUUGAUGACCGAUGAGUUAGAUGAUUUAGCAGGGCAUCGGUUAAAGGCUUUAAUGAGUAUAGAAGAAAAUAAGAAGAGAGUUGCUAGAUGGUAUGAUAAAAAAGUAAAGGCUAAGGAGUUUGCCGAUGGGGAUUUGGUAUGGAAGUUGAUUUUGCCAGUCGGGACUUAAAGUUCGAAGUUUGGGAAGUGGUCUCCUAAUUGGGAAGGUCCUUAUCGGAUAAGACAUUCAGCUCCUGGUAAUGCCUAUAUUCUAGAAACUCUCGAAGGAGUUGAAUUUCCCAGAGCAUUAAAUGGCAAAUAUUUAAAGAAGUACUACCCCAGCAUAUGGGUUGACGCAUAAAAGUUUAAGUGCCGAUAACACUCCUAUCGGCUGGAUUUAAAUGUUCGGGGGCAGACUUAAUGUUUCAAAAGAUGCCGAUAACAGUCUUAUCGGCUAGACUAAAAGCUAAAAGCGGAAAAACAAAGGUGUGUUGCCGAUGAAAGCUUCAGAUGUUCAGCAGCGCUUGGAUUGCUGAUAUGGCGCGCAGCCGAAUCUGAUUGGCUGUCUCUAUCUCUUUGAUAUCAUCAUCGGCAGAACCUUCUAUCGGCUUCAGCUUCCUCUUCAGCUGCAGCGCUUUGCGACCAUGGACGUUUCGUUCUUGUUCAAGGUGCUUGAUGGUCUCCGGCAGUUGACUCUCUUCUUGCUGGGCUUGGGACAGAGCGUCCUCUACUUGCUUGAGUUCGGCCAGUAGAGCUUCUCUUUUUGCCAAUAGAUCAGACACUUUCUGCUUCAGUGCAUCACCUGAGGACUUUAAGGUGCCGAUGUUCUUAUGUUUCUCAUCGGCUAGGAGUUUUUCUUUCAUCAUCUCCUCAGAAAGCUGGAUUUGAGCGGCUCUAUCGGCAAGGCGUUGAGUGGCUCUCUGGUACUGUAGCUGGCGGCUUUCUAGGUGUGCAGCAUGGAAGAGUGUUUCUUCAGCAUCGGCAGGAAGUUGGCCUCUAAGGGUCUUGAACAGGGCUUUGGCUGGGUCAGAAUCAUUGACCAGUUGAGUUGUGUCUUGAUGAAGUAUGGCCGAUAGCUCUUCCAGCUUAGCUCUGGUUUCUGCCGAUACAGUUCCAACUGCCCGGGAGGAGCUUGCUUCCUCGCCUUCUUCUUCGAAGAUAUCAAUGGCGAAGGAGAAUAAGCUGUUGGGAGAAUCUUGUUCCUGAAAAUGAAGACGAAAUAAGUCAGUUUUAUGGUCAAAACUUCGGCAGACGAUACUGGUGGAAAAUUGGAUGACUUACUUGCUUCAAGGCGAUUUCUUGCCUUUGACUCAAAAAUGCCGAUGGAGCUACAGGUUGAUCGGCAAAUAUUGCCGAUGGAACGAUAUCGCCUGAAAGAAGACAGGAAGGAUUAUGAGACUAAAUGAGAAUAAGUUUAUCGGCGGAAGUAUUGUUGAGAUAUGUUACCCGGAGGAGAGAGAACAGCUGCCUGAGUCGGGGAAACCGCCGAUGAUAUAACUGGGCCUGCCAGGCCAGUUGUUUGUUCACUUACGUCAGCUGAUGUACCUGCCGUUUGAGGUUCUUCCUGCUGGGGUUCUUCCAUCUGUGGUGCUUCCUGUAUUGGUUGGGGAGAUGGUGCUUGCUGUGUCUGGACUUCUGGAGGAGAAGGGGAAGAUUCCACCGGGAUUGGGGACACCGGAGGAGGAGUUGCCACUUUCUGGCGCUUUGUUCCAGCCUUAGCACCCUGGGUGCCCUUCCUCUUUGGCUGGCUAGACUGGGGGGCAUCGGCACCUUGGCGUUUGGCUUUUGCCGAUGCACCAGUUUGCUGCAACAACAAAAAGGAGUUUAUGAGCACAGAUAACCGAUACAAAGAUAGUCAGCAUAAAUGAAAAAGGUUUUAACAGAUUGCCUUGAAAGCUUGCGCCAGAGUAGAAGCAGUUACCGUUGGUGAUGUCUGAGUUUUCCUGGUGGUAACUUUCUUGAGACGCGCACCCCGGUGCACGAUGGAAGCCAGAGUGGGAGCAUAAUGGCCGAUUGAGGAGAUCGGGCCUGAUGGGAAUAAGUCGAUCGGCUUGCCACUCCUGCUAACCGAUGUGGGGGUGUUGUCAAUCUGCAAAAGGAAUACAGGGGUAAGUUACCGAUGGGAAUAGUAUUGGAAAAUGAGACAUCGGUUUAAAAUACUUACAGUGUCAUCAGGGACUUCGUAUUCGGGGUCGAUCAUGCCGCGGUAUGAGAGGGCCGAUCUGCAGAAUAGAUUCUCUUUCCAUUCUGCCCACCAUAGCUUGUAUGCCUGAGUGAUAAAGGCAGCUGGAACCCAUUCUGACAGAUCUACAUCUGUAUCGGCAUUUGGUGGUAGCUGGGCUACUCGAGUCCACUCGAGGAGGUUGGCGAUGGGUUCUCUGGGCUUUAUUACAUCAGCAUAAGGAAGUGCAAUCGGCAAUUGGCCGAAAGCUAGCUGGCGAGCUAAUGCCGAUGGGUUAUAAAAUUCAUAGGUUUGGGGGGAGGUUUUCGUGCUACCGAAAAAAUUCACUGGUAUGGCUCUGGGAGUCACGAUUGCCAUCAUCACCUCAUUGUCCCUGUCAAGAGCUUCAUCAAAUGGAUUGAAGGUCAGAGGGAGCAUGCUGUCUGGGUCGUCAUAAGCCAGCCAUGGUCGUUCAUCUCUGGCCAGACACUCAUACAGAGUCUCGAAGAAUCGGCCGAUCUGAUCCGGAUUGUUCCCUGAACCGGGUAAGACUAUAACGGCUUCACCAAAGUUCAAGGGGGCACGCGUUGCCGAUUCCUCUUCACCUAACACAUGAUUCUCGGCUAUAUCUCUUGGGAAGUGCUGUGAGAACAAGUUGAAAUCAAGGCGCUUAUGCAGGUGCAGAUUGAGCCACAUAUUAAUAAACCACCAGGGGCCUCCCAAGUUGCCGAUGGAUUGGCCAAGCAGGAGUUUCUGGGCUACCUGAUGAAGAAGGUGGUAAACAGCGCCGAGGAAAUAUCGGCCGAGAGGAAAUUGGCCGCCGCUAGCCAGUCUUUCUGCUGCCGAUAGAUAGACAGAAGUCGGUCCUGCCGAUCGACCACAGAAUACAAACUUGUCCAGCCACAUGUUCAGAAAGGUGGUUUGCUCCUUUGUGGUGACAGAACCUCUCCCGCGGUACUUCUGGAUGUACCCUGACCAACCGCCGAUAGCGCGAGUCUCCACUUUGGCACUGGGGGCGGUAUCAAAAAAGUGGGUGCUAUCGGCAGAAGAUAUAUCUAGCCCAGUAAGCAUGGCUACAUCGGCAAGGGUAGGAGAAGCAGGGCCGUGGCCAAAAACAAAAGCAUUGAGAGUGUCUGACCAAAAGUAGGAUGCAGCUAUCAGCAAUGACUCGUUCCUGUGCAUAUCGGCAAUGGAUAGCCUAAUGCAUUGAGCUAGCUUCCUCUCACCCCAUUGAACUUCAUAAGAAUUGCUGACCCUCAAGAACCAAUCUUUCCACCCUACAGUAGGGCUGGGCCAAGAACGAAAGGUGUCUUUCCACAGAUCUAAAGAAAAAUUUUCAGCUCUAAAGGGAAUCCUGUUGGUUUCUGCAUUGAUAAGGUCGGUUGGAUCUGGAUCCCCUAGAGGGCCGAGGCACUGAAGGUGUGGUUGAUCGGUAGGGAUGACAAUUUUGUUGGACAACUCCUAGUGUUUUGGGGAAUAAAAAUACAAAGAAAAAGGAAAAGGAAAAUGUUCGGUAAGAUGAAUCGCAGAUGAACAGGAAUGCGAGAAAAAGGUACAACAGAUGAGAUGGAAGUCUGACCUCAGGGACGAUGAAGCCAAUGGCCAUCUUGUCGUGAAGAGGACGUUGGAGGGCACCGGAGUUGAUGAAGAAGAGUGCUUGUCGGAGGUCUUGAGGGUUGUAGAUGGCGCCGCCGCUGGAAAAGCAAAGUUGGAUAGUAGAAUGGUGUAAUGGGGGAGGAGUACCCAAGAAGGAACUAUUUAUAGGACAAGAUGGGCAAGGGCAAAUCCGUCUUAUCUCUUUGCCGCAUCCGAGAAGCCCGAGGGUACUCAGGUGGAUAUGGUAACUGUUCGCACGGUAAUCCAGGGAUUGUGCAGGUGAUUUGACAGGAAGCGGUCAUUAUCUAAAGAUAUUUUACUGUGCGCGAUCUCCUGGUCGGUCCAUCGGCGAUAUUCUAUAACGGUCAUCUUGCCGAUGGGCGGAUAGACGGGGGGUAACCGUUUUUUGCGAAUAUCCUGGUCAGAGCAUCGGCAGAUCUUUAUAACGGAAUUGUUGCCGAUGUACUACCAAGAAAGAUGCCCGUUUAGGAAGUUGGGAAUUUCGAGGAAUCUGCGGAGGAUUAGGAUCAGAGUUGUCCAGAUUGAGGUUGUCGGUUACCGGAUUAGGAGCAUUAAUUGCGGAGAAGGUAUCAUUACUGCAGAGAAUUUCGGAGCAUUAAUAGUUUUAUACUCCGAAACUGGGGGGCAUGUGUUGACACCGUUUUUGGGCACGUGUCCAGGAUGGCAGGAUAGGGUGGCAGUACAAUGCGGGUUGCUGAUGAGGAUGGUUGCCGAUGAGGGAGAGGUUGAAUGUGACUAAGUCCACAGGCAGUAAUAUGGUGCCGAUGGCUGGAUAAAAAGGUCUGCCGAUGACUAUGGCAAGGGGAUUGCCGAUGACGCGAAGGAGGAGUCCGGAAGCUGCCAGUUGUCAUCUGGAGGAGUUUCGGUUUGUUACGAAGGAUAGUUUUAUUAUUUCCUUAGUUAUUUGCAUCGUUUUGUAUACGGAUUCCGUGUAAUUUGGAAUUCGAAUUCUAAUCGUGUCUGGUCGUAGCUCUUUGAGCCGGGUAUAAAUAUAAACCCUAAGACCUUGUAAUCAAGAUAUCAAGAAAUCAAUCAAACACACGUUUUUACUCAUAUUCCAGCAUCUACUUUUCGACGACUUCGUCAUACUUUUUCCUUUUUAUUACGAGUUCUUAGGAAUUCGUCGACUUAAGCUCGACGUGUUCUCGAGUUCCGCGUGAGUACCUCUUAGCCGUGACAUCCGGGCGCAUCGCUGUUGUCAGGACUAAAGUAUUCGAGUUAUCACCUUUGCCGAUAGCAAGGUCAAAUCGGCUGGCACGCCUUAACGUUUGAAUCGGGUAUUAGCCCUUUGUGUUUGCAGAUCAGUUUUGCAUCAACAGAUUUAUAACUCCAAAUUAACCAACCCAACUGAUUCAGCAUGUUUAGUCCUUUAAUCUUUGUUCCUAGUACUACCUCCAUGCUCCCACACUCCUAAUCAUAUGAGCUAAAAUGUUGCACAUUAAAUCUUUGGGAAGAUAUAAAGAAAAAGACAUAUACAUAAAUAGAUUAUUUUCCAUAAAAUUGAGCGAUCUGAUGUGACAAAACUUUUAAAUGCUACACUCAUGAACUUAUCACCCAUCAACUUUGUCUUGUGCUUAAGGAUAGAGAAGAAUAAAUAUACUUUUGGUUAUGUUGGUGUUUUCCAUCAACAGGGCCCAUGCACUUGAUCUCUGCCUUAUCUCUAUGAGCAGGUACACUUGGAGCAAAACAUGGUGGAGUUUUACAACUCCUAGAUUCCACCAAGUGAAGGACCUAGAUCUACAAACACAAACACACUGAGCAGGAUGCUGCCAACGCUACACUUCGAACUGCUGGGCAAUCGAAGAACAUGGGUGACACCGUAUCAAGAGGUGCAGACGUCAAGGUCCGCACCUGAAUCAAAUGGCGCACCUAAAGAAUGAACACGGUGAGAAGUCUUGUUCAGAAGCCUUAAAACAUUGAACCCUCGCCAAAAGUUAAAAUCCCAUAUUUAUCCUUUUUGCAUUCCCUUUUUCCUUAAAUUAUUUACUUUCCUUAAAUAGCUUGUUAGUUAAUUAUGCUAUCUUGAAUAUAAAUUAGAAAUGUUAAAAACAGUAAGCCCUAUGUGAGUAUGCUCGUGGCAUAAAACCCAUAAGUACAUUCACUGUGGUGGCGUAAAAAUAAAAAUAUUCCUGACCUAUAAAAAUGAAAAUAUAAAAAUAAAUUUAUGAUCCUACCAAAGAGAGUAAUAUUUAUUAGAGGAAGCUCAACAUGAUAAAGGCAAAGAGAUUUUAUGCUAACACUUAACCAGUUUCACAAAGCUUUGUUGUCUAUUUGGGCUCCACAGAAUUCAAGGAUCAAAGAAGACUAGCAGACGAAGGACAUCCUAAUCGCUGUUAGGGUGCUGCCGACAUUCAAAUACACCUCCGCCACCUGCUAGCUACAUCAGAAGAAAUUACGUUAAAAUCCAGCUUGGGGGAGAGCACCCCCAUUUACCCAGCUAAGUGUUUAUAUUCACAUUUAUACUUUACUCAAAUAAUAAAAAGAUGCAUAAUCAUAAAAACCUAAAUAAAGAUUUUAUGCUUAUAUAUAUCUUUUCUUAGUUUGCUAAAUAAAUCAAUAAAUAAAGUUUGCUAUGAACCCUCAUGAUAAGCGCUCACAUGGAAAUGAUGAAUAGUUGCUCUGCCAUGACUAGUUCUCAAAAUUGAAUUCUCUCUCAAGUUUAGACAUGACUGUUAUGAAUUAAGAUUUGCUCUAAACCUGAACUUAUGGGAAGACUACUUGAUCUAAAGUCUAUGUCGUUAACGGAUAUAAUAAGGGAAGAUUGAGUUGUUGUUUAUCUGUUCCUAGAGAUGCUAGAAUUCUGGAGAAUUUUAUCUUUAAAAAUCUUUAAAAUGUUGCAUGAUGAGUUCCUGUAUGAUGAGAGUUUAAAAUCCUACCACAGCCAUAUAUACAUGCUUAUUAGACUAUGAACCAUACAUUUACUUUUUACUACUUAUGAGCAUUGAGUGUGGUCAAGCUGUGUAGACCCUUAGGAGCUUGUCAUGCGGUUAAAAUCAAGAUUCACUUGCACGUUCACUCAUACAUGCCGCUUCUACUCCGAAAGUACGCAUCCACAUACAUCCACUCAUUUCCAUCUCCAGAUUCACCCAAAAUUAUUCUACACCUAUCCGGGAGAGAAUAGCCAAAAACAUUAUCCCAUUCCAGUUUUUCCCUGUGAAAUAAAUGCUCGAGAUAUUUUCGUUACUACCACUUGCUACAUUAUUCUAGGAGGGUGAGUGCUCUAAAAAAAGAGAGAGAAGAAAAAAGAAAAAAAAUAUGAGGAAGUAAAAAGGGGCAAGUGCCCGGAACCUCGAAGAAAAAAAAAAGGUGAGACGAGAGGUAAUAAUGGACAAGUGUCCAACAGUAGAAUUAGGGGUACAAGAUACCCACCUGAGAGAAAAGAAAAAGAAAAUAUAGAGCAUCUCAUUCCCCUCAAAAAGCUUCAAAGUGCAAGAAAGGUAUGUGUCCCCUCAAAAGAGCAAACGUAGAAUUAGACUUUCACCAUUGUUUUCACCAUUAUCACCAUCAUCACCAUACACCAUUCAUUAGCCACACAUGCACAUCUUGAUUUGACUUAUUGAAUUGUUCUUCUAGAUCCAUGGUUUGACUAUAUAAUAAAUGUCUUGUAAGUAUGUAUUAGCUAUCUCCCACCUAUGAGCUCCAGAUAUCAAAACCUUAUUAGAGUAGGGUGAGAGAGAAGGUAAUGUCACUAUGCCUCAUACCACAAAUACCACAUACUUUGAGAGAAGGCAUAUAACAUCAUUGCCUUGGUAAGGAUCUAGAAAUACCACAAAACAGAGAUUUGAGAGAGUCAUACGAAGGAAUCUCUAAGUUUUAUUUGAAAAUCUGCAAAAAAAACUCCAGAGCUAUAGUUGCUCAAAGAAUAAGAGACAUGGUGCUUGACUUGACCAUUCUAUCUUUUAACUGCUCAAGACAUAAGUGACGGUUGCAAGCCCCAUGGUGAAAGGUAAAAUGAGUAAGUUUUAAGUCUUAACAGUUUACUCUAACUCAGAGAUAAGACCUUGUUUGAAAGCAUGUGUACCGUCAACUUUCUAAGGCAUUGCAGCAAUUUUUGAUCCAUCACUAAGUCUAUCCUUGCUCAGGGACGAGCAAGAGGUAAGCUUGGGGGAGUUUGUUGACGGUCCUUAAGUAUCAAGUUUAAUCAUCAAAUAAACAAAGAAAAGGAUCCAAAUGCAACCAACACCCAGACUUAGGGUUUUAUCUGACAGAAUUCCACGAGUUUUGGUGUUUGUCUAUUUCUGCAGGGGGUUAUCAGGAAAUAUGGAGGAAAGGCCCACACGUUGGGUUUACAUAGAGAUAUUAACGUGCCGCGCAAUUUUCUAUCAUCUAGAAGACUCUAGAAGCCACGGGAACGAACGGAAAGCCAAGCGGGCUCGGGGACAGGGCACCCGCCCUCCCCCCUUGGGCGCCCGCCCUGCUACAGGAACCAAUCAGGCUCCGCCUCGUGGAUCAUGCUUCACCGACCUAAAGGAUUAAGGUAAACCGUGCGAUUAAUGUCGGUUUGAUCCGACGGUCUAUAUUCAUUUGGAGGGACUAUAUAAGCAGACCCCCUGGCCCCUAGAGGAGACAACCCCUUCAUCCCUAUUCAUUAUUCAUAGACAGAGCAAAAGCUAGGGUUUGGAGAUGAGAGCUCUCCUCUCUUCUCUAAACUAGAGUAGAUCUAGAUAGUAGCGAGAUGGAGAGCGAGGGGAGAUUGGAGGAGAGGCCGGCCUGUCAGUUCUUCCUCCAGUUGUACUUCGCCAU